CUAGAAAUGUAGCUCGUCGUUUGUGAGUGUGUUCGUGUUCGGCUGAAAAUAAGUUCGAAAUGGAGCUUAAUGUCUAUGCACGAAGGCCCUGAUGAGUUGGUGGCUUGGUGCCCCAUAUAACUUUAAAUUUUAAAUUUUAAAUUUUAAUUUUUAAUUUUUAAUUUUUUAAAUUUAAAUUUUAAAAUUUAAAUUUUUUUAAUUUUUAAUUUUUAAUUUUUAGAUUUUUAAUUUUAAAUUUAAAUUUAAAGUUUAAAACUUUGAAUUUUCAAAUUUGAGAUUUAAAAUUUAAAAUUUAAAAUUAUAUAUAAAUUUUAAAAUUAAAAUUAAAAUUUUAAAUUUUAAAUUUAAAUAUAAUAUAAAGGACAAUAUUAUUAUUUUUUAUUUAUAAUUACCCACUAUUCUUCUUAUUCCAUCUUAUCUAUCUAAACGUUAUUUUUCUUAUUCUUAAAAACAACUCAAUUUUCAUUCAAAUACAAAAUUGACCUAUCCCACACUUAUACUUGAACUUAUACCUAUUCUUGGAAUAUGCACUUCUCACUUAUACUCGAAUCAAACGAAGCCAUAAUAAAUAAGCGUACACAAGCAAGUCCCAACUUGCUCGUGUUCGGCUCAUUGAUAGCCCUGGUAGCCGAAGUCUUAAGUUUAAAAUUUAAUUGCUUCAUAUUUUCAGCUGAAUUAAUUUAAUAAAAAUAAGUGAAAUAAUAAAAAUAAAUGGAAGAAAGAGGGAUAGGAAUAAUGACGCACCAACUGCCUCUGAAAUCCUGAACCAUGCAAGGACUAUGUGUGAAUGAAGAACGUCCGGUUUGAUGCCACAGGGAAGAGUUGUUAGAACAUCUAUUCUUUGGGAGUACUAAUGGGCAAUUACUGCUAAAGGAAUCUUCCAAUUUGUAUGAAUGUAAGAUAAUGGUUAUUUUUAUUUGUGAAAAAACAGAUCCAAAAUAGUUUUAACAUUCAUUUCUACUUACAUGCAUGCAUGAUUAAGAUCAAAAAAAUCAUGCAGCCACUCACACUGAUAGGAGAUUAUAAAGAUGUGCAAAUGCGGUUUCAUUUAUAACAAAUAGAAGAGUUUAUUUUUACGUAUGAUGUAGUAGGAUGGCUUAAAAUUCAAUCUAAUUAAGUUAUAGAGAUGUUUGAUAAGAAUUUCUAACCGCAAAUGAUGCAUGAGUCAUAUUUCAAAUGUGAUAAUUAAAUAUGACACUAGGUAUGAAAUCUUAACCACAUAUAAGUAACUGUUAUAUUAUAAAGCUAACUUAUCAACAGUAUUUUAAGAGUACAUUUCAAAAAAUGCAAUAUUAUUUUAUAUAUUUAUUAAUUAGACUAGAGGAAUAUAAACAAAGUUUUUUGCGGUAAAAAUCAGAAUGCAUCUCAUUUAUCUGCGGAUUGAGAACCAAUCAAAUUUGCACAUGAGAGCAAAUAAAUUCCUACUCUCUCACCUUAACAAGAGACAAUUUUUUAAUUUAUUUUUCUAAAUAAUAAACUUAUCUGAAAAUGUAAAAUAAUUAGAUUUCAAACUUAAAAUCUUAAGUAUCAACCACUAAACUUUUUAUCACUUAUAUUAGGGACAGUCAGCCUUAAUAAGGUGACAAUUAAUACCAUCUAUUAAACAUUCCGGAAGAUACAACCAAAUGAAUCAACAUUAACACGUAAGUAUCAAGCUGCUGUUGCACAUGUAUUUGGGUACGGAUCUGAUGAACUGUCCCAGAUUAUAUGGAUUUAGUAGAAUUCCUACACGGAAGGUGCCAGCAUUUAAUUACUUGCACCAAUCAUUGCACUAUACAUUUUGUGCUAUUUAGUUUUUUUGACCGUACAUUUAGUUUUUUUGUGCUAUGAUUAAAAAAUUGUAAUAAGUAUUAGGGAAAAGUGUUGCCCCCUCAGUCCCUCACAACGAGUUUUCUUAGCAGAUUCAUGUGGUCGAAAACUACAAAGUUUAGUUCCCAAAUUUCUAUUCCGAAUUGUAAAUAGUAACUGGUUGAAAACUAAAGUAUAAUAUAAUGAGAAACUCAGAAACUAUACUUACUAAAUGAAGUUCGCACAAGAAUCUGCUUAUUAGUCAAAGUGAUGCUUUAAUGGGGCCUAUACACCUUAUUAGUCCAAACUGUUUCCGCCUAAUUCCCAUUGCCAAUGAUCGCCGUAAAUAUCGGCUUGAUCAACAUUAUUAAAUUAAGCUGAUCAAUCCAAGCACCAAAGUUGACCAAAAGUGUGACUCGAUAUUUGACCAGUAUCUGUAUAUCAUGGAUUGUAAUUCAUACGAGAUUUUUUUUUUUUUGAGCGACAUUAAUUAGCUAUUCAUCAUACAUACAGUAAGGUAAUAAUACGCUUAAAUAAUAACCUGCUUAAUAAUGAAAAAGGGGAAUAGAUUAGAUGCCUUUGUUGACUGAAGGGUCAACUAGAUUGUUUGAUAGUUAGACAGAUAGACAGACAGACAGCCAAAACCAGAUAGAUAGAUAGAUAGAUAGACAGCGAGGUGAAUUUAUUUUUGGCGCGCUCAUUUAAGGUCUUUAUCAUAGUGCUCAAAACAGAAAAAUUUCAGAGCAUCAUAACCUAACCAGAUAAGGUCCAUGUUACAUCUCGGUGGUCAUUUCAUUCCUAGCAACUAACGUUACAUCUUUGGAAUUAAUCAUAUCAUCAUUCCUAGCAAUUAAUUAACUUCAACCCUCUUAAUAAAGGCCAAUUUCCUCUAAAAUAAUGACUCCUCUAACAAUCAAGCUUCAACAAGCAAUCAGAAAUAAUGGAAGUGGUUGGUUCUACGUACACUUCUACUUGCUACACACCCACACUAUUUCCUGAUGAGAACCUCCCAACUCCCUCCCCAGAUCAAUCACAGAUCCCUAAAUUUUAAUAGUGUGGGUAAUUUUCACUAUCAGAAUCCAAAGUAAAGGCCAUUAAUUGUUGCUUGUUUAAGCACUACAAGUUAUAAAUAUUGUUCUUGGUCUCUGCCUCUUUUCUACAUCACUAUAACACCCCCAUUUUUUGUGGCUCAUAGAGCCUACAUAGCACAGCUUGGCUCCUUCUCUAACUUCCAUCAACUUCCUCAUCAGUUACUAUUUAUCCUCUUUGUGAUGGGACCAAACACUCCCCCUCUAGCUAUUUAUACCACAUGCAAACCCCCCCAACACCCAUACACCACCCCCACUACUACUGCACAUUACUCCGGCCCCCACUCCUUUUGGCCUCCCCUAUUAAGUUUGAACAAUCCCUUUGCUUUAUCCUCACCAAAAUGUCUCGUCUCCUCUUCUCCUUCUCCCUCUUUCUCUUCUUCUUCUUCUUCUUCUUCUUUCCCUUUAUUAAUGCACAACCCUCUCCUGGGUAUUACCCAAGCUCCAGGUUCAGGCCUAUAGAGUUCUACAAAGGUUACAAUAACCUUUGGGGCCCUCAACACCAAUCUGUUUCUCAAGACCAAUCUUCUCUUACAAUUUGGCUUGAUCGCUCCUCAGGUUUUAAUCAUUGAAAUUACCAUUAUCUUGUAUAAACUUUACGUCGGUGCAUUACUAACUCACUAGAUCUGUGUACUAGGAAGCGGGUUUAAAUCGAUACGCCCGUAUCGAAACGGAUAUUUUGCCGCGUCGGUCAAGCUACAAGCUGGCUACACUGCUGGUGUCAACACGGCUUUCUAUGUAAGAAUAGUUUAGCCACUACGAAAUUCGGAGCGAAUUUGUAAAAUCUCUGUUAAUUUUAUUUGAUUUUUGGGGCGUGUGUGCUCGUAGCUCUCGAACAAUGAGGCGCACCCGGGUGACCAUGAUGAAGUGGACAUGGAGUUCCUGGGCACGAUACCGGGCGAGCCGUAUACGUUGCAGACGAAUGUGUACGUGAGGGGGAGUGGUGACGGGCGGAUCAUCGGAAGGGAGGUGAGGUUCCACCUCUGGUUCGACCCGACCGCGGACUUCCACCGCUAUGCCAUACUGUGGAACCCUGAUGAGAUCAUGUAAGUGACAUGCUGUGUAUAGCCACUCUUACUACUAGUACAUAUUUAAGAAAACAAAUUAAGGCCAAGAUAACAAAGACUAAUUAUUCUCUUUUCUUCGAUGAUUAACGCAACAAUAAUAUCUAAUUUUUAUAAGAUAAAGUUCUUUAGGAUUCAAAUUUGAAAAGUUCGAGCACCAACCAAUAAGUUCUUUACCUUAUUUAUGAUAGAGACGGUUGGUUAUAAGAUAAAAGUUUCGGGGACACUUUAAAGAAAGUGUGCGUAAUAUAUUCAAGUCGUGUCAAUGUAUCCAUUUGAAGUAACACCAUAUAGUAACAGGACAAUAGAGAAUAAGGUCAUUUUUAUUUUAAGUAACGCUCACCGUCAACUGUAAAAGCCAUGGCCCACGAGGGUCCACGAGGGUCAAUUAUUAGACAUGCAUGAAAUUAGCGCGACUUUUACGACACCCAUCUCCUUCUCGAAAUAGUUUUUUCUUAUAAUAUAAUCUAAACUAAUCAUAUUAUAUCAAGAAAUAUAGAGAAUAAUUUGAUAGCCUGAAAAUGUUUAAUUAGAUGUUACAAAUUUUUUAUAAAAUAACUGUGUCAAAAAAAUUUGAUUUCAAUGGAAUCUUAUACUAAAUUAUAGUUUAUGAUGAUGGAACAUCCUAAGUGGUUGGAUCGGGCGUGCAAAAUGGUCCAACUCGCGGGUUAAAUAUCCAUUUGGGUCAAGCAAUUGAUCCGAUCCCUUGGAAAAUUUUGUAAAUGUCAUGCCCGUUUAAUAGCCCUAGGUAGGACCCUUGUCGGUGCAAUUUCAAACUUCGAAAUCUGACUAAUUUUUACACCUAAAGACCAAGAUUUUAUUUUGUCAAAAAUAUAUGUCACAUCCUACUAACGUUACCCCGAUUACACUUAAUCAGAGAAACUUUAAAAACAAUAUAAAUAUAUAUUAUAUAUAUAAAAACUAUAUGAACUUAAUUUCUUCCAGUUAAGUACCCGGCUUCAAAUUCUAUAAUAUUCUAUAACUAAUCUAUUGUUCAUAACGGUCGAUGCUCCUUAAAAAAUUGAUAUUCGUCUAUUUGUUUUUUAAGUGUAAACAUAUAUAUAGAGGUAUUCGAGACAUUUGAUCAUUAUAUUACUGUUAAUUAUCCCAAAAUUAAUAAAAUUUGAAAACAAAUUUACAGUAUUUAAAGAUAAUUUUUUUGUAUAUAUUUCGGUACUCUGGGAAAGAAAUCCAAAUACUUAAUUAAAAACAUAAACACUAUUCUCUAGAAAAUAACAAAAUUCGCGAGCAUUCAAAUUGAGCCCAAAUUCAAAGCCUUGUUGUUCAUCUCUUUUUUUUUUCUUGGGGGAGAGAAGAAACAAAUUUAAUUAAAUAUUAAUUAAUUAGGCAAAGGGCUAAAACCUGCGACCUUUAUUUUCCAUCAAUGCAGAUUCUUUGUGGAUGAUGUUCCAAUCAGAAGGUACGAGAGGAAGAGCGAGGCCUUGUUCCCGGACCGGCCCAUGUGGGUCUACGGGUCCAUCUGGGACGCGUCGUCGUGGGCCACCGACGACGGCCGGUACCGAGCCGACUACCGGUACCAGCCGUUCGUCGCGCAUUUCACCGGGUUCAUGAUCGGCGGCUGCACCGCGUUCGCCCCCGAGAGCUGCCGCCCUGUCCCGGCCUCGCCCGCCGGCUCCGGGCUCAGCCCUCAGCAGUUCACAGCAAUGCAGUGGGCCCAGAAUAAUUACAUGGUCUACAACUAUUGUCAGGAUUAUAAGAGGGACCGUUCCCUGACUCCUGAGUGCUAAGUUUGCUUGCCACAUAUGGAUCAGGUCAAGCAGGGCAAGGACAAAAAAACGGUUUUCACUUCAUCUGAGUGUUGAUUUCUUGAGAUGAUCUACUUCUUCUAUUAUUUACUAUUUGAUGAUCGAGUAUUAUUAGCAGCCCUUCUACUCUGUGUUUGUAGUUGAGGCGUUUUUGUGUGCGCGUCUGUGCUUUUUUUUUUAUUUUUUAAUUAUAAUUGUAUGAUGAUGGUGAAGGUGUGGUGCAAUGGUGUUGGCGUCUCUUAUUUUGCUGUUGUUGAGAAGAAAAUAAAAUAAUAAUACAAGAGAGCUCUUAAGUGUAAUGAAUGUUGCAAUUCGCGACGUAGUCACAAGCAUGUGGUGUUUGCUUUCGUAACUUUGUCCUUUAUUCAUCUAUCACAUCAUCUAUUAGAGAUACGUGCAAAAAAAUCAAUUCACAAUAAAUUGGCUGAUAUGACUUUGAUGGUUUCUUUUUAGUGUGGCAAUUGAAUUAGCUAUUUUUUAAAUUAUACAAUUCUUUUAUUCGAAAUGCCAAAGAAACUUGAUAGACACUCUUUCUUUGCAAUUAAUACUUUCUCGUCUUAUUAUAUCCGAUUCAAUCUAGUGUGUCUGUGACACACAAAAAUAGUUCAAAAUAUAUUUCCGAAAAUGCACGGAUUUAACCCAGGCCCAGUUUGAUCUAAUCAGUCGAGCCCAAAGCCUCCAUGUCAUGGACUGGGCUAGGUUUGGGCCGGGCCGGGCCGACCAAUAUAAAUGUAAUCCGAACCCGGCCCAUCUAAAUGUGAGAGAGAGGGGACUUUGUAUAGCGUGGGGGAGGCGAGAGGGUUGGUAAAAGCGAGGAAACAUGGCGAGGAGCCUCUCCUACAUCACGCCCUCGCAGCUCAUCUCCAUCACCCGCAACCCCAAGAUCGCCAUCAUCGAUGUCAGGUAUAUAUAUGUAUGUACAAUUGUGAUGUCCCCUUCGGGUUAAUUUUUUGUUUGUCGACCAUGUGUUUGUUGAUUUGCUCGUGUGAGAUGUGCUGUGCCAACAAAGGGAUGAGGAGAGGAGCUACGAUGCGCACAUCGCGGGGUCGCUCCACUUCCCCAGCGACACCUUCUCCGAGAGGCUCCCCGAUCUCCUCCGAUCCGUGCGGGGCAGGGACACCCUCGUCUUCCACUGCGCCCUCAGCAAGGUUCGUUUCCGAUUCCUCCGAUGCCUUUGUUUCUAGGCUUCUUCUGAAUUGGGACUCAAGAGUUUUCCUCUCGAUUAUAUGUUGUUUAUGCUCUAAAUUUGCAAUAUAAUGAAUUUGAUGCUAUCUAGUGAUUUGAAGAAUUAUUUGUUUAAGCAUCCAUGCUUGUUAGUAGUUGUCACUUGGUAGAAGACUACAACAUUGCGAGUACCUGCGCAAAUGUCGAGGAUUUAUUUAUGUUUUCUGAGAAGCGUUAGGAGUCAUUGACAUUUUUUCACAAUCUGUUAGGUUCAAAAUGGCGAGGGACAUCCCUGUAUCUCAAAAAUCAACAUACUAUUGCUUCACAUUCGAGAUGAGUUGAUAGAAUAUUUAUUGUCAUUAACAGAUUAAUAUCGUAGUAUGAAAAUAACCAUUAUCAGUGCAAAAAUAAGUCUUAUUUCAAAAGCAAAUUUGAUGAAUGAACUAUUUACCCUUCACUUUUACUUUUUAGUUCUUAGAAGGUAUGUUUCUGGUAAUGUUUGUUGAUUUUUGAGCGGUUUUGUGGGUUGAACGUCUACUUUGGGAAGAGCUGUUUAUAUUACUGUGGAGAGAAGAUAGAAAUGGUCGCUUAUUGGCUGAUCUCUUUACGCAGUAGGCUCGUACUGCAAAACUUUUGUAUUGAAAUCUACAUCUCGCUAAUUCCUUUCGUUUUACAAGCUGCCGACUUGGGUUAUGAGUAGAAUGAAAAAUUUGCUAAUAUAAGUUUUCCAUCCGAUUUUUGCUUCGUUUAUCUUUAGCCCAGAAUAAAGCUCUAAACUUUAGAAUAAGGAGCCGCCGAUUAAGCAAUCGAUUGUAAUAUUCUGUCAAAUUUUCAUGAUAGCUUCUCGAUUUGCUUCUAGCUUGUCCAACCAAUAUUAGCAGGAAAAGGCUUGGACAUUGACGAUCCUUUACUUGAUCCUUAUUCAACUUCAGAAAAGGACGGUUAUGAUGACUAUUUGACUAAUGAUGUGCACGACAAAAGAUACUGCACUUACCAAAAACUAGUCAAGUUAUCCCUGGUUGGGGCAGACUAUCUAUUAAAUUCCCUCAUUAUCUCUAAGUUAUCUUAAAUCUGUCGCUCAACUUGUUUGUUUGUUUGUUUUCCUUUUUCUUUUUGGGUCUUUACUAACAUGAUCUCGUUUCUUUGAAGGUCCGGGGACCAUCAUGUGCGCGAUUGUUUUUGGAUUAUUUAUCAGAAACAAAAGAUGCUGGCAUAAAAAAUGUCAUGAUUUUGGAACGCGGAUUCAAUGGAUGGCAGGCUGCUGGCAGACCUGUUUGUCGCUGCACCGACGCUCCCUGCAAAACUCAUGACGUUUGAAAAUCAAAGCAAUAUUCAUAUACAGAUAAUAUUGGUUGAUUGAGUCGCACUAUUGUCUAUCGCUAGCCCAUAAUCUCUCCUUGUGGGGAUGCACUAUCUGUUAUUGUGAUUGCUACAUACGGAAGAUUUUCCAGCUCUCAAUUUGCCUGAGAUUUCUUUUUUGUAGCUUGAAGUCUACUUGUAUCGUUUAUAAAUGUCAUCGUUCUCUUAUCGUUUGCUCAAAGCUUUUAGCUCAGUUAGAAGCAGGCUGUUUGGUUUUCACAUGAAGUCGUGCUAUCUCGUUUACGAACAUCUCUAUUCUGUUACGGAAUUCGUCAAGCUUUCAUAUGUUAUCUUCGAUCUGAUCCCUGAAUGGCGCUUUUCCUCUUUCCAAUUUAUAGUUUCACAAUAGAUUGAGUUGGCAGAGAUGAUUCCUUGUCUGAUUUAUUCUCAGUUUUAAAUUCAGGAAUACAGUUUGCCUCUUCUCUUACUUUGGAGCUGUGUCCUUCCUGUGCGGGUUUCUUAUAUCUUACUAUGUUCAGGGCUCUUCUGUAAGUUUUUUUUUUAAAUUUUCUGCUCCUUUCGUUUUUCUCUCAUUAGCUCGACUUAUUUUCCUUUUCUCAAGGAAAAGUUUUAUUCAGGUGGUGACUGUACGUCUUUAGCUUUUGUAUCGUAAUUAUACAUUUGUCGCUAAUAAAUAAACCUGGAUCUAUCUUCAUAUUUUUGUGAAUAAUAUUUCACGGGCGACGAGAUGGUGGAGGGAGGAUACAAUAAUCCGAGAAUUAAUGGAUGCUCCCUUUUUUUUUAGUUUUUAAUUUUACUUGGUUUUUGAAAGCUGGUUCGGUUAAUGACUUAAUGGUGUGGGGCUGGGGGACAGGGAAUGCUUGGGAUUUAUUGAUGGGUAAAUGUGUCAUUGCAACAUUGCAAGUUGAAACUGUACUGUUGCCGUAUGUUUCUGGGCAACUAGAAUUGGUGAAUGAAUAGUUUGUUGGAGGUACCACAUCACAUUGCUCCUGGCCCUGGGUCAUGUUAUCUUGGAUUGUAUUAGCAUUCUUAGCUACUAAGAUUUUAUUUAGAAUUGCGAGAAUUAGAGCGCAUUUAUACAUGGUUUUUUUUAAAAAAAAAGUACAAUAAAUAAUAGUUUAUUUUGUGUCAUAUCGUGGAGAUGGCGACACCUUAAAAGGCAUAAUUUUAUAUAUUCUUUUAUAUUCGUGCUUCUGUUGCCUAUAUAGGGCCGUAAACAUAGGAGUGUAGGACUGGUCCAGCGGUAGGUGGGUGACCCAUUAAGCCACCUUGAAUGUGGCCCGGUAUGGACCAACCUGAACGUCACUCGUUUGGUGCGACUUGUGAGAAAUUGUUAAGACUUUUCUUGCCUCAAACUCCGAACAAGGACCUGCUCGAUCCAAACCCAUCCCAAAUUUUCACAUUGAACCCGCCCCAUCUAAAUAGUUAUAAUUCAUCAUUAUAAAUACAUAAAAUAUCUAAUAGUUCUAGUGAUGUGAAUGCAAACUCAUGAUCUACGGCUUACCCUACUCAUUGCACAACUGCAACUUACGCUGCUUGCCAUGGAUCAAUAUAAAAUCCACGCUUCGCAUGCAUGUCCUAAAGAAUAUUAUUUAGGUUAUCUUUGUCAGAUUGCCGGCGCCAACAAUUAAUUUCAAAAGUUCGAACUAUUAGAAAUACACAACCAAUUCACUUACAGCAUACAGUCACAAUGCCCACGGAUUUGAUUGUAAUUUAGUCCAAUCAAUCUCUCGUUACAUUGAACAUAAUUCGACCUAACCCACCAGCACACUAUUUUACAUGUGAUUCGGUCCAACCCUAUCUCCUGCCACAGGAUAGGAUGCGCUGGCUCUUUUAAUUAAGCCAAUAAUCUUUUCCGUCAAUUGUCCUUACUUUUGAGUACAAAUAUAUCCCACGGUAGACACACCCUAGUUGAAUUGACGGUUAAAGUCAUAGCUUAAAGUAAUAAAGCAACAAUAAUGCUUUGAAUAUAAGAAUUGACAGAACAAUUUAAAGCUUUUGAAAAAUAACAAUUAUUUUAUAUUCCUUAACAUAAUAACAGAAAAAGAGAAUAUAAGUAUUAUUAAUUUUCUUUCAUUUAAUUUAAAUUCACUUCUUCAACCUAUCAAAAUAUUUUGUCUUCAUGUGCCAGAAAAUAUUGAAUAUAAAUAUUAAUAUUACAGAUGAUCGGUAACCCCUUUAGCACACCCCAAAUGUAUAAACUUCACGAAAGGGCUGGGCUGAUGCAAAAAGAAUGGUCUAAAUUAACUUGCAUAAAACUAAAACCUGCAUGAAAGCUUUACGCAAAAUAUCCAAAUUUUGAAAGAGACAUCCACGAGAAUAUUAUAUAUUAUAUAUAUUAUAUAUUGUAUAUAUAUAUAUAUAUAUAUAUAUAUAUAUAUAUCCACAUUGUAAAUGGUCCUCGAUCGAGAAGGCAUGCAACACAUGCAGGGCUGAACCUACCACCGGAAGAAUCGAUCGUAUACCAGCGGUUGAGGCAUCCACUAUUGGUCAUGGUCACCAACCACGUACGACAGGUUUAAGCAGCUACAGCAACACACAUGCAAUAUUACAUCCUUUGCAAGUUGCUUCCCCCUCCAACAGAGUCCCCACUCGCCUGUAAUAUAAUUACACCAUUACAUGUGCCCCGUGCAAUGUUAAUUAAUGUUUAUAAUUAAACCGUUUCCCUAACAUAAUAUUCGACUUAAAGUGGCCAUACACUACAUAUCAAAAGAGCGUUUAAAAAUCGAAAACCAUUAUGAGGUCAAGAGAUACCUUCAAUAUUAAUCUCUCUUUAAUCGACAUAGCUUUGAUCUCCUCCUCCAUCAACAAAAUGUACACUUGCAUCAUCUACCAAAGCAAAAAAUAAAAAAUAAAAAAAAAAGGAGAGAGAGAGAGAAUUAAUAUACAAAAAAGGGCAAACAUAUCAUAGAGGCUUCUUACAGAAAAGCUGCCGCGGAAAUAACUCUAUCUCUUUGCUUCUUAUAUGAUAUCCGUCGCCGUCGCCAUCGCCGCCGCCGCUGCUGCCGUUGCCACCUCUGUCGAGACCUUCACCCCCGCCGACUCGGGUAUUAUUGAAGAUGUUCACCCCAAAAAGCCUAACCAUUUGAGCAUCCCUGACUGCAGCCGGCGGCUGCAUGAUGCGACCGCCUUCCGGCAUCGCAGCCCUCUGUUUGACAUCGAUGUAGAGCUGCUGCUCCAGUCCGCUCGACGACCUCCAGAAGCCGACGACAUCCCUGGGUUUCAAACCCUUCUCCUUCACGAAGCGGCUCCAUCCUUUCGUCAGCACGUAGCUUUCGCUACUCUUCCAGUAAGAGUACCGGAGCCGCCACACCUUCCCGUCGCCGUCCUCGAAAUUUAGCAGCACCCCCUUUCCGGCGAUGUCUUCGCUCUUCAGAGCGAAGUGCCUUUCCGCGUGCUGCUUCGGGAUGACCAGCCGGUUCAGCUUCCCGACGUCGCUCGGCGUCACCGCCUUAUCGAACAAAAACUCUCGCACAAACCCUAGCAAAUUAUUACUCGAAUGCGCCGUCAUCGCCUUUGGCCCGUGCCUGCGCCUGCUUUGUCGGAGCUCGUCGAGGUAAGUGUGCUUACGCAGCAUGUCGACGAUCUCGUCUUUCGAAUGCGCUGCGAGGAACGCGAGCUCGGCGGUUGGGCCUUCUUCGCGUUCCGAUAAGGGCUUGAAGUUGGUGACGGCAUCGCUGCCGCGGAAGCGUAAUGCGGCGACGUCGUGGGCGCGGGCGGCCGCCGCCUCGUCGCCGAAUGUGCCGAGCCAGACGCGGCAGUGCCGAUCGUAGAUCUGGGCGCCCCACCGGCCGUUCGGCUGGGGGACCACCCCUUUGUAACGUGACGACGGGAGCUUCCGGUGCUCGGCAUCGGCCCCGACACUCGACUCCGGAGCACUCAGAUCGAGCGCUGCACUCGCGCCGGCGCUGCUCAUCCACCAGAGCACCUCCGACUUCUCGGAGAAUUCCUUUCCCAUGCAACAACUGCUAUCGGCGCUCAUGUUAUCUGCAGUUUGCGAUUUGCAGGACGGAUUACGUUGGAACAUAUAUCUAUAUCGACGUAAUCGGAUUGAGGUGAGAGGAUUUGAAGCAAAUAUAUAUACAUAUAUAUAUCUAUAUAUAGUGUUGAUGUAUUAUUGAUCAUCUGUUUUGGCUUUGAAAUUAUGGUGAAUUUGGUACGAGGGAACUAUAUGGAAGAGAAGGUUAAUCGAAUACGCUUCUUUGAGGCGUAAAAGAGAGACGCAGGGGGGGAUGUUGCAUGCGGACAAAGGAAGUGGGGCCGCAACACGGGCAAGUUGUGUUGGGGACAAUGUAUCCUGAAGCCAAUCAGAUUAUCUUUUUCUCAUUCACUCAUUCCAUCGCAAAUUAAUAAAAACUAUUUCUAUUAUAAUUUUUAAAAAUUAUUAUAAUUAAAUAACUAUUAUAUUACGAUAAAGUAUUAUACAGUAAACUUUCAGGGAGUGUGGGAGUUCACAAAAGUGAGUGGACCUGUAUGUACGGUAAUUAUUGAGUGCAUCCCCCCUAGAGCGUUGGUGGUUCUGAUCGAGGACUAGUUUUGGUGAUUGAUAUAGCUGAACAAUCACAUGGAAUUUCUCUCUCUCUCUCUCUCAACAUGCUUUUGUUAUAUAUCAUAUUCUUUUUUUCUGGAAAAAUUUAAUGUAUACCAUUAUAGACUUUAUAUUUACACCCAUAUCCUUAGAUAGCGUUAGGUUCGGAUAUAAGCAAAAACUAACUAUUACAGGAAUAGGUAUAAAUAUGGGGAUAUGAAAAUUAGCGUUUGGAUGAAAAUUGAAUUGUUUCCGGGGAUAAGAAAAAUAACGUUUGGAUAGAUAAUAUGGAAUAAGAAAAAUAGUGAGUAGUUAUAUAUAGAAAAUGGAGGUGUUGGUGGGAAUAGUUAUAUUCGGUUAUUAUAGAUAACCAAGAACUACUAUUUUCGGAUAAAAAAUUAACGUUUUGAUAUAAAGGAGGCCCCUUAUCCCCAAUCCAAACGCUGCCUAAACCAUUUAGUUUCGAAUUUAUAAUAUUCAGAAAAAAUUAUAUAUUUUUUAUUUGGAACGACGAAUUUGUUACUGACUUAUUAAAUAAUUAAAUAAAAAAAAUUGUUAUGAACUAGCAUAUUUAUUGAUAGGUCGGCAAAGACUCCCAUCAAGUAUGGAAAUGAAAAUAUUUCUUAUCUAAUCAAGAUAAUCUAAUAUUUCUAUCAUCUAGAAAUUUAUAAUGAAUCUAUUUCUUUACUAACACUCCUUUUUAUAAUUAUUCAACUUGAGUUGAAUAACAAUAAUUAGAAUAUUUUCAAUAAAAACAUAUAAAUAUUUAUUGAAAUAUUACAAAUUUUGAAUCAAAUUGUUGCUUAUAAGAAUAAAAAUAUCCUACAUAUUAUUUCAAGUUCGAAAAUCUUUCAAAAAUACCCUUGGUGGUGACAUUCCGUUUCAUUAUGACCAGACAUAAAUCAACUAUCUAUUAUAUACGGCAAAAUUUAAUCUAUCAAAAAUAAAUUGAUCUUGUGGUGAUUCCACAAACACCCAUUAUGCGGAUGGAUGGCUUACACGAUCGAUUUCUUUCUAGAUUGAAAGGAUUAUAAUUCUUUUUCGGUUAAGAUUCAGCAUUUUUAAUGUAGAAAUUAAUACUUACAAUGCUAGUCCUAGACAAGAAUAUUUUUCCUGUAAUCUUAUAACUUCAUUUUUUCAUUACUCUUAUUUUUUUUUAUUAAAUUUGUUUUUUUUUUAACUUAAAUCUUAAAAAAUAGAACUACAUCUCUUGGAUCAAGUAAUGUAAUCGUAGAACUUUUUUUUUUUAGUUGAAGAGUAAGCAUUUGUCAAAUCAAAAAAAGGCAAAAAAAAAAAAAAAAAAAAACUGGCAAUAUCAGAGAGCUGCACUGCGCUGCUGCUUAAAGAAAAACUGCUGCGGAAACAAUUCGAUUACGGCACUUUUCAUUUCAUAUCUGUAGCCACUACUAUUGACACCUUCACCCACACCAACUUGAGUGUUAUUGAAAACCUUCACCCCAAAAUGCCUAACCGUUUGAGCAUAUCCCUGACUGCAAUUGGCGGCUGCGCGACGCAACUGCCUUCGGGCAUCGAAACCCCGACACUCGCCUCCGGAGUAGGAUCGAGCCCCGGACUCGACGCCGCUGCCCAUCCGCUGCAGCGUGUCCGAACGCCUUUCAAAUAAGUACAGCUAUCAGCGACCAGUGUGUGAUUUACCAAAGGGAUUACAUACAUCGGAACAUGUCAAUAAUCUACAUUUAUAUCAAAAUCUAUAUCGAUAUUGUUUUUUUUUUUUUAUCUUUAGAGAGAAAGAUAGUAAGUUACCGCUUUAUUCAGUAAGAAAAUAAAUUUAGCAACAAAGUGAAGCAUCAUGGCUUCGCGAGAGAGAAAAAAAACACUAAACAUAAUAAAGAUCCCCACAUAUUUCUAAGUGCGCGAAAGUUCACCAGCAACUGUCUCAGCGAUAACUUUUUGUGGUAAAAAAUUCUUCUAUUCUGCUCCAACCAUGAAACCCACCAAGUAGAGGAGAUGUAUAUAAAUAUUGUUGAAAGCGUGAUUUGCUUUGAUACCACUUGUUGUAUGGAAAAAAAUAUUACAGCGAAUUAAACUAAAUACUUUAUUAAAUAUUUUUACACUAAAUUUCGAUAGUAGAUAAUUUUUCAUAUAUUUACAGCAGUCUAUUUAUAGGCAUAAAUAAAAAAUCCUAAUAGCAAUAAUAGAAAAUAAAAUAAACUUACUUUUUAUAUUCAAUUAAUAAAAUAUUAAAAAAUAAAUCUGACGGAAAUAAAUCUAAUCUUACAGAUAUAAUAGGUUGAAAAAUGAAAGAGAAAGGGCAUGGAGAAGUACAGAUCCGUUUUGGAAUAAUAUAUGGCCCGAGUUUCGUGCAAGUGAAUUAAUUACAGGAGAGAAGGUUCGUCGAAAACCUGUUUUUAAUUGAGGUGUAGAUGAGAGAAGCGUGGGGUUGGCAAUGGACAAAUAUAUAGCUAGAGUGGGGCUCCAACAGAGGCAAGUUGGAGAUGGAUGGUUUUUUUUGUUUUUUUUUUUUUAAGAGAGUUCCAUUUAUUUUAUUUAGAAAUAAAUUUAGCUAAAAAUAUGAAUCAACUAAGAUUCGAACUUGGGUCUCGAGUACCAACCAUCAAAUAUUUUGCCACUUGUUUUAGGGACGGUCAGUUUGGAGAGAGAGAGAGAGAGAGAGAGAGACCAUGCCAAGAUACGUAAACAGUAGCAAGCGCAUCCCACUUGAACUUCGGGGGCGCAGGGGACUAAUUUUGGUGGUUGGGACUGCUUAACAGUUUCAUUCCUCCCUCUUCCCCUUUUCUCGAUCUUAUUACAAUUUCUCUUGUUACUUCAUACAUUGUGAUUUUUUUUUCUAAAGUAGUGCACGUAGUUUAGAUGGUGCAUGGAGAGUAAAAUUUCUCAUAUGUGAGAGGUUUGGAUCCACGACUCAAAUUAUUUUUUAAAUUUGAUUAAUAUAUAUUUGAAUUAUAAUUAUAAAUUUGAAUUUAAAAUAUAAAUUAAAGUGUGAUUGUUUUUUGUAGAAAGAUAAAAAGAACACACACACACACAUAUAUAUAUAUAUAUAUAGUCGGGCUACUAUGCUAUUAAUAGUACGAAGCACUUGGUACUACCAAGUUUUCCACUGUUAGAUCUACCCUUUUAAUCAUUUUCAUCCGUUAUAUCAUACUAUUCAACCAACCACUCACUCAACCCUAGAGGGUCCAUAUCAUCCUAACCGCAUAUCUCUUAAUCCAAUGGUCAAAAACUUGGUAGCACCAAUGACUUGGUGCUAUUAAUAGUAUAUUAGCCUAGUUCUAUAUAUAUAUAUAUAUAUAUAUAUUAUAGAGGAACAAGACAAUUUAUUGNAUCUCCAUCUCCACGGCUCAAUAAAACACACGGGCUAAAGCGACCUCUAUUACGCCCUAGGCCACUAGGACGGCAGUCCCUAGUGGAUGCUGGCGGUCUCGUAGCUCGCGACCUAGAAGCGGCUGCCGUUCUGCUGGACGGGGCAGUGGGCCGACGGCGAGGGCGACGGCCGGCUGCCCUCUACCUCUACCUCUACCUCUACCUUCUCCAUUAGUAUUAGUAAAAGUAAAACCAAAGGCGAUCGAAAAGCGAAAAUUAUUAUUGAUUGAUUCUCAAAGGUGCGGUUUCAGUGGAGAUGGUGGAGUUGAAAAAGUACUUGGUCAUAUAUAUAUAUAUAUAUAUAUAUAUAUAUACACCACACACACAAAGGAAGAGGAAGAGGAAGAGGAAGAGAAAGAUGAAGAUGACGGUGAUGAGGGAUUCAAAAGCGCUUAUGGAUGUCCACGCGGUGGUCGUCGUGGUGCGGGUGGGUUUCAUUUUGAAUAAUAAGUAAUAAUAAUUUUUGAAAGCGCAAAAGGGUUGACAAAGUAUUAUACGGGUAUUAGAAAAUUAGUAACGCCCCAAUUACGGCUGGCGCUAUACUGUAAUGUCUUACUUUACUUUUAUUAUUAUUAUUAUAUAUAUAUAAUAAAGUAGAGCUACUAUCCUAUUAAAAGUAUAAAGAACUUAGUGCUUUCAAUUUUUUAGUCUUUAAAUUAGUUUUUUUAAUUAUUUCUAACUUUUAGAUUAAUAUUACUAUUAUGUAAAAAUCACUAUCUCUAGAAGUAUUAUCCAAUCCUAAGAAGGACUGUAAUCACCCCAAUCAUAUAAUUCUUGAUUUAAGAAUAAAAAACUAAAAGUAUCAAAUUCUCUAUACUUUCGAUAUCAUAAUAAUUCUAUACUAUUAUAUAUAUAGAGAGAGAGAGAGUCUGACUACUAUGCUAUUAAUAGCACAAAGCACUUGGUGCUAUCAAGUUUUCCGCCGAUAUAUCUACCCUUUUGAUCAUUUUCACCCGUUCGAUUAUACUAUUCAAUCAACCACACCCACUCAACCCUAGGGGGCCCACAUCAUCCUAACCGCAUAUCUCUUAAUCCAAUGGCCAAAAACUUGGUAGCACCAAUUACUUGGUACUAUUAAUAGUAUAUUAGCCUAGUUCUAUAUAUAUAUAUAUAUAUAUAUAUUAUAGAGGAACAAGACAAUUUAUUGUGUUUUUUGUUUAUUUUAUUAUGAGCUUUAUAUGAAAAUUAUAUCUAUGCUUGUUAAAUCUUAAAUAUAAUUAAAUAAUAUAUGAGUAUAUAAACACGAAUGUAAAUAUUGAGUUUUAUUAUUAUUAAUUCUACUUCACAUUCAUAUGUGUGCAUAUAUAUUAUUAAAAUAAUAUACGAAUACCAAUUCAAUUCUAAUCAGAAUCUAAAAAAUUUAUUUAAUCGUACUCUAAUCUGUUUUUAUCGAAUAUGAUAACGAAAAUUUAAUAUUUAAUAUAUAUUCGCAUGCGAAUUUAUACUCAAAAAUAUAAAUAUAAUUUUGUUAAAUAUUCUAUAGUGCAUAUUCGACCAUUUUCAUCCUAAUCAUGUCGUCCUUUUAGUGGUACAUUAAAUACUGUGCCAAUUUGUUAUUUGUACAUCUUGAGGUAUGUCGAGUAGGUUCCCAAUAUUGAAUGCGUGCAGUAACAAAUUGCAUAAUAAAAGCUUAAUUUAAUGCAAAAUAUUUUAGUUUUUCAAAAGGCUAACGUUCGAAAAAAAAUAAAUAAAAUUCUUUUUUUCUUUUUUAAAAUUUCAUUUUAUUUUAUUUAAAAAAGAUUAAGCUGUAAUACUUAAUCCAAUACCGUUAUAUUAUAUUGGAGUUAUUCCUAUCCUAUAUCCGAGUAACUUAUUAAGAUAUUUAAAAUAUUCUUAAAAAUGAUAAACAUGUAACAUUCUUUUUUUUAAUAUUCCCAACAUAAUUUGCACUAAGUAGCGUCAGGUAUAUAGGACUAAACAAUUAUUAAUGCACCCUUGUUGCAUGUUAUGGACAAAAAAAUUUAGUACUUACCGAUUAUUUCUAGAGCAAGUGGCAAAAGGUUUGGUGGUUGGUACUUGAAGUCCCAAAUUCGAAUCCUAGUUGAUUCACAUUUUCAGCUAAAUUUAUUUCUAAAUAAAAUAAACGAAACGGGCAACGUACUAUUUAUCUCUCUCAAAAAAAAAAAAAAAAAAAAUAGCACUUCGGCUGUUUAAUUACAUUUUUGUUUCUUGUGUUUUACGAUCAUAAUUGGUCACGUUAAUUUCUACAGGCACCCCAGGACUCAUUAGAUGUACGCACAAGUACUGUUCUUGGACUUAAUGAAGAAUGAUCGUAAGCGCCGAUUCAAUGGAUGCUGGGUUGUCGCAGAUUUUGUUUUUUUGCCACUACACGGACACUCCGCAUUCAAGAAUAUUCUUUAUUUUUCUUAUAAUUUUGUACGUCCUUAGAUUAUUGUCGCACGGAGUUUAGGUCCUUAGAUUAUUGUCGCACGGAGUUUUGGAGUGUUCUUAGUUUGGCAUCUAACCCGAAGCCAAAUCGAACCUGAUCAAAUAAGAUAAUUUGAUUCGAUUUAUAUAAUUUUUGGUUUGGUUCCGUUUGGCUCAGUUUAGUAAAUUAAAUUUUUUUUAUUUACGUAAUCAAACCGGUAAUCGAAUUUCUUGUAGAAUAUGAUAUAUAAGAAAGAAGAAAAGGUGAUAACUGAACUUAACCGAAUUUCAUACGGUUUGAUUUAGUUUGGUUCAAAAGUUAUUUUUAUUUGAUUCGGUUUGAACAAAAUAUAUAUAAACUUAAAAAUUUCAAUUUGAUUUGUAAAAUGGUUUAAAACCGAACAAAAUCGAACUGAAUACACCCCUAAGCGCGCGCGCGCCUUACACAAGAACACAAGAGUGUGGUUCAAAUCCCAACUGCAGAAGUUACUAACAAAUACGUUACCACCAGAUUGCCAGUGGCUUGGUUUCGUCCAAAAGUUAAAACUUAUCAUACUUCUGCUCGGAUGCUUUUUUUGGACCGAACCAUGCCGACUUCUUCCAAUCCAGCUCGCUGUUGUAGUAGCACGGAAUCAUCUCGCUGCUGCCAUCUCUUUUAUUGAACACCGCCACAUCAUAGCCACCGAAAAAUUAAUGGAACUCCCUUAAAUCAAAUGCAGUUCGCCCUGCAGCCAGGGGAACUCGCUCGCCUUCACCGACAUGCUAUGGUUUCCGCACAAGAGCAGCGCACAAUCGCCCAUGUCGCUAACCCAAUCCCAUGCACUUGGGUUCCUCUGCGUUGACGUCGCACAGCCCACACGUCAAAGUGAUCCUUCUGGCCGAUCAUGUAGCCUUCGUGAAUGUCACGACGUUAUCUUCUGAUUAAGAGCAUGUUCCCUGCGUACUCAUCAUCAACUAGAUAAAACUGGCUGUCGAAGAUCCUCGUGAAGCACGAGAUUAUUGUCGCUCUGAAUUGCACCGCCUGUCGAAGCUCUGCUUGAAGGAGGCACGUAUAGUAGCCUGGACCGGUGACGCAAAAGGGUCGCAUACUGCCCUCCUCCUCUCGCCUUCCAUAGUGUAGAACUUGUUGCUGCUUGGAGUAUAGGGUAAGCAGCGGUAUUCGUCGGAGUUGUGGUGGUGUGGGGGUGGGGGAGGCGGUAGAUUCUCCGAUCAGCGAGGCUGAAGAAUCGGUGUACGUCGUCGCUGCCAUCGCAUGAGAAUUCUGGAGGGAACAUCAGCCACGGGAGGUGAGGAGGGAGGUCGGCAGGCUUUGCGGCAGAGCGCCACGACGCGCAGAUGGGACGCUGAAAGAGCUUCCGAGCACGAGCAGUUGCAGGGAAAGAGAUGGAAGAUAGGACCAGUCUGGACUCUGAAGAGGGAUUAGGAUUGGAUCGGCGAGUUGUGGGGGACGACAUUUCUUUAUUUGGAAGGUUUGGGGCUUCCGCGGCCGUUAUAGGAGAGUGUUAUGUAGUUCACUCUGUUAGAAUUUCAAAAAUCACCUACGAAAUUCUUGGAGGGAGGUCAAAAUUUAAUUCUGCAGUAAGAAUUUAAAUGUUGUGUCAUAAGAUUGUGCUCUAACUUACAAAUACGAUAUGUGUCGAUGCAUAUUGGAAUGUCGAUCACAAAACUUAUAUAUAUAGUUAUACAUAAUAAUACGGAAUACUUAUUUUUUUAGCAUCAAAAUACUUUAAUUACUUAUUAUAUAUAUCUAUUAAGUUUUUUAAAUUUUAUUAAAAUAAUUACUUACUAAUUUAAAAAGUAUAGAAUCUUAAACUAUACCACUGAUAUAUAAAUUAUAUCGUAUCAAUAUUUUAUUAAAAUAAUAAAUUACCGUACAUGCGACUAUACUGUCGUACCGAUGAACAUUCAAAUUUUUGUUCAUUAGUUUCACAGGAUACGUUUCAACUUUCAAAACGGCCUAUGUGAAAACUACCUAUCAUAGCAUCGUAGCUUAGCGUUACCAGCGUGCUAUACAACUGUUCUUGAACGUACGUUCUCCACAGAACUACAGAACCAAAUACAUUCGAACCACGACCAUCCAAUUAGAGCACCUUGCAAUUAACCAGCAAGGCCAAAACACAAGCUUCAUUACUUACACUCAGUCUGGAUGAGAGAAAUAAAUGGUUAAGAGGGGAAAGAAAAAUAUAUUAUUCUCUCGUGUGGACUGAAUCUCGAGGAGAUAAAGAAAAAAGUAAAAUUUAAAUUAAUAGUUAACUUCCGUUUUCAAAAAUUGCGAGAAAGGAAGAGAAAAUUGCUUUUCUUUAAGAAAAUACAUUCUAUGGAAAACUAUUGAACCAAAAACAUUCAAAACAUGAACCUUCCAAUUAGUUGGUGCCAACUACUUGAUAACCAAAAACUUUAGUAAAACAAAAGGUAAUGCUAAUCAUUAUUGCUUCAUUCUAAACAUAAUACGGCUGCAAGGCACCUGAGGAUGUAAGCUAGCUACUAAAUCAAAACGCUAUUGUUCGCUAUCGCCAUGCCACAUACAGAAUGACUCAUGUAAGCACAAAAGGUCGGAACGUUAAGCAUUCGUAAAGACAAAGAUUAAAGAGACUUGAUGCAGUUAACUUGCGAACAUCCAAGCACACGACAUCUACCUCGACGGCGAGGCUGCUACUGCAGACACCAUGCUAUCUAUGCCGCAAAUGUUAUGUCCCCUGCAAAGUCGGUAGUAUCCGUUUUCUCCCCAGUGCUCACCCCACGAGUUCUUUAUGAUCCAAUACGGCUUGUAUCCGAGCCUGAGGAUCGAAAAUCCUCUGGACCCGUAACCGACGAGAAGCACGCCAUGGUUCACCCACUUCUUCGGGCAUAUCAGCGGGCAGGACACCCCUCGGAUAUAAGUCUGCAUGAAAGCCGCAUUCAGACCAACUGCAGAUUUUCCAUCGAUCAAUCGCACAAUACAUUAGUACAGUAAUCAAAUUCGAAUUUAAAACAAUCCGAUAUCGAUAAUUUGUGGUUUAAACCUGCAAGAGGCCCGCGGCGAACGAGAUUAGCCAUGAUUUGAUCCUCAUCAAGAGGUAUGUUUGUGAAGUUUGCGAUGCGAACGGCGAUCUUGUCUUUGUUGAACUUGCACUCCCCUUGCUUUCCAGUGUAAGGGUAAGAUCUCUCCUCUUCCAGUCCACCCGCUUGCAUCAGGUAGCGGUAGGCGUUCGUCAUGAGCCCGCCGUUGCACCCGUUGUCGCACUCGUCUUUCUCCACAGCAUCGCACUUAAUUAUAUAUACACGUACGUAGGCAUAAGAAGUGAUGGUCAGUAGAAAUUCUGCAAACUGCAUUUGAGAGGUAAACGUAAAAGAGAAACUUGGGAUUACUGUAUGGUCACAGUCAAUGAGUUGCUGCUCACUGAGGCUCAGGAGCUUCCCAGUUGCUGCAAAGUUCGCGCCUUCCACCGCUCCGGUUGUGCUAAAUGCCCAGCACGAUCCACACACGCCCUGCGUUUACAAGAUCAACUCGAGAGGUUCAAAAUGGUUGGCUUAGGCUAGGCCGCCAUGUUCGAUCGUGCCUUUGGGCGAUCAACUUAAUUUCCAGUUGAAUCUAUAGAUCUGCAACGUGACCGAACCAGGCCAAUCGGUUCGGAUCAACCGGUCCCCGGCCGGUUUAUAUUAAUUUAACACCUAGCUAGCUCGAUCUCACCUGCGUCUUAACGUCCGUAACCGCUCCCUUCUCCCUCCAAUCGAAGCUCGAGGGGAGGCCCUCCACGUCCGUCUCCGGCGCGGUCGGGUGCCAGUGCCCCUUCCUCUCCCUCGCCCCGAGGCCCGUGAGCCGCGCCUCGAACUCGUCCUCGGUGAGGUCGGAGAAGGGCGUGAUCCCGUGCUCCGCGGUGGGGUCCAGGAUCUGGUGCUCCGCCGCGCGGACCAUGUUCCGCGCGAACACCCCCAGCCGGUGAGCGUACUCCGCCCGGUCCCCGUACUCCUUCCCGUACCCCCGCACGAACGCCUCGAACUCCGCCUCCGGGCUCCCUAGGGCUGACGUCACCUGCCGGAUCCUGGGGCCCGCCUCGUAAGAUGCGCCCGCGGCGCGCGUUAAGAGGAGGACGAGGGAGAGCGCAGCGACGGAUAACGAGCUCCGGAGUUCCCCUUCCAUUAUUUUACGGUCGCUUUCCUCGUUUCCACUUUACUGAUAUAGGAGGUGGGGGAUUCAGUAAUUUUUUAGAUAAAAUUACGAGUGUAUGUAUAUAUAGUAUGGCUUCAUUAAAUUCGGUGUUGCUUUCGCGGGUAAAUGCGUAAUUACGUUCAGGUGCAUGGCGGUGGCUGCAUGAAGAUGGAACCUGGGGGGAAGAGAACACCUGGCAAGUGUAAAGGACACGUGGCAGCUUGGCAUAAUGAUUUGCUCUGUUUUACUUUUUCCGAAUUUUGAUGCGUUGGGUGGCCAAUUCAAAACUUUCCCUACCGAUGUAACAAAUUUGGGCCUAAUUUGAAUAAUUGGGCCUUUCCCUACCGAUGUAACAAAUUUGGGCCUAAUUUGAAUAAUUGGGCCUACAUGGGCUUUAUUGUUCCAAUCUGGGCCCUAUCAAGGUCUUGGCCCGUCUACGGUGAGCGCUGCAGCGAAACCCAUAAAAGCAUUUGUGCGGGCACGGACACAGAGAGACUGAGAGAGAGGAGCAUCGGGCGCCGAGGGGUUCUUCUUUGCGAGUUGUAGGGUUUCUUCUAGGGUUUCAAGGAGCGAUAUGGCGAAUCAGGGGGCGAAGAAGAGGAAGGAGGAGAACAAGAAGCACAUGACCAUGCUCCUACGCCUCAUCGUCGCCUCUAACGUAACCCUAAUCUUUUCUUUCGCCCUUUUUGUUUCCGCUUAAUUUUCGCCUCUGUAAUCAGUUUUCCUCAAUGCUUUUGUUGAGAUCUGAACUUUCUUUUUUUAUUUUUCAUGUGAAUUUGAUAGCAAAAAGAUGAUUCGAAGAUCUGUUCUACUAAAUUUCUAGUUUUAGUAUCUAUUAGAGAAUGUAUUAGAAGCUAAAUUGAGUAUAUCUAAUUGAAUGUAUUUGUUAUCUGCUGUUAAUGAAGGCCAAAAUUUGAUGAUUCCGUGGUAUAAGUCGCAUUGAAAAUGGAGCUAUCAAUGGAAAAUUAGGUUUACUUUUUAGUAGAUUAGGACUUGUGAAGGAGCCUCGGAAAAUAGUUGAUUAUGCAAACAAAAAUCGAGUCACAGAUCAGUUGCGGCUUAUUAUAAAGUUGAGGGCUCGCUCGAUGUUGCAUGAAAUAGAUGCGGCAUCGAGAUUGAUAGCUUUAGUUUCCCCAUAUUUUAAGUGCUUUUGUUCUAAUUAGGAUUUUGUUAGGAUUUUAGCGCAUUAUUGUGUAGGAUGAGGUUAAGUGAAGCCCACAUGUUAGUUGUGUCAAUUCUUUUAGAUCCCCUGAUAAAAAUAUGGAGCAUAGAUUUAUUGGGUUAUGUGGAUCUAGUAAGGGCAACAACCUAAAGAGUGGGCUCAAUUAAAGGUGGCUAGGGUAAUGUAGAGUAAGAGCAGGUAAAAUAACACGUGAGAGAAGAAAAGGAGAAUGAAGAGAUAGCUCGACUUGUUUGUAGCUCUAAAAUGUAGCUUAUGACAUGUGCUAGCGACUUUGUUCGCAGGAAGAUACAGCAUACAUUGCACUUGGUUAAUUGGCGGUGAAUGGCGAUAAGUUUUCUGCUAACUAUGACUUUGCAUGCUGAUUAUGCAACAAGGUUAGAAGAUCUACAGGAUAACAUGUUAAGGUGGUCGAGAAAAGGAAGUACCAUUUCUUACUAUGGUGUUAAUGUAAGAAUAGGGUGCUUUUAAUGUUCCGAGGUUUGUUCUCUUGGUUCACGCUAAUAACAAUAUAGCUUGCAACAUUGAAGUGAUGACUUUGACUUUGAGAGUAUAUUCAAUAAAGAGGAGCCUUUAAAGUUAUUCAUAAUUUGCCUCUCUUUGCUUACAAUUAGCUUGUUUGUGGCAAAAGGAAAAGCUAUAUGGCCAGUCGUUUGCUUGCAUUCUUAUUGAGAUUUCCAUUUGCCCUUCUUUUUUCCGCUUACUAAUACGGAUAUUAUAAUUAGUGAGGAUAAGAAGAGCACUUAUGGUUGCUUUUAUAUCACAUCCAAUAACUCAGCAACUCUGCAGGUCAUAUAUGUGCUAGUGAGGAUGAUAAUAUUUCAUUCAACUUUCACAUGGAAGCAUUGGAUUGGUCUUCUUGUGACAUCUGUUGCGUACAUUGUCCCGUAUCUACAACUUGCUAAUAUGGCAAAGCCAACAUUCUCAGAUGACGGAGAGCUCCUGGAUGGUGGAUAUGACAUGACAACCGGCGGAGUGUGCGGGUACACCUCCGAUUCUUUUUAAUAACAUUAUGUUACGUAGUUAUUCUUUUCUUUUUGUAAUUAAGACUCCACCGUAAUUCAAUUGUCUUUACUGCAGAUAUCUGCAUGAUGUGAUCUACAUAACAUGCUUUGUGCAGCUGAUGUCCAUCAUUUCUGGAAAGUUCUGGUGGACGUACUUAGUGGUAAGAUAUCUCAAUCAGCUUACCACCUCUGAUUCAUCAAGUAAUUGGAGAACUUUGUGCCCCAUUAUGGGUACAAUUAGAAUGACUUACUACCUCAAUGUGCAUAGAUGAACCUUCCUUACUGCAAAAUUAGAACUGGGAGGACAUUAUUAUCCAUUUUCUGCUGUUUAGAAUCUCAAACUUUUGGAGAGUUCUUAUUCGUAUCGACUGGGACACUAAGGUUUAUAGUCUUUGUUCUAAUCGUCAUCUUGAUUAUUACAACAUAUAUUAUACUGUUCCAGAGGCUCUUUUAUGUGGUUCCUCUUUCUAUGAUAGAUCAGAGGGUGCUUCUGUGUAGGGUGGCAUUUAAGGUCAAGUAGUUCCUUUCUGCAGCAGACAANNNNNNNNNNNNNNNNNUUGAAUGAUACCACUAGAGCAGUGAUAAAGCAUAUCACAUGCUGAAUUAUUAUAUUUCGAUUUCUCUAAUACACUCUACUCUCUUUCAGAUACCGGCAUUUGGUGCGUACAAGGUUUCCGGUCUUUUAAAAGGAACAUUUCUUGGCGGCUCAGAGGUACAGAUACUGAAGUGCUCAUAUUACCAUAUCUUGAUCCCAUAAGAACAUAAAACUUAUCAACAGUGUUCAAUGUAUUACAGGGGGCCGUAGAGGAUGAGAAGAGCCGCAAAAAAAGGGAGAAGAUGGAGAAGAAGGCCUCAAGAGGCAAAUUUAUCAAAACCAGGAAUCGCUAAUGCUCUAUAUCUUACACCCCGGAGGUUAGGUUGGCGUGUUGUUUGACAAAUAUUGUAAUUCAUGUGCUCAUUUAUUAUUCUCAAAUCCAGCUAGAGCUAAGCAGGGUAUAGCAUCUUUUGGGAGGUGCUUUCGCUGGCCGAUCCUUUGAUUGACCUAAUCGCUUCAUCAUGUGUGUGAUUGGAUAGUUAGGUCAAUGCACAGAAAAUCUAUUUAUACAACUAGUAACAAUUUUUUUAUAUUCUCGCGACAGAGCAGAUACUAAUGCAUUAUAUGUACCAAUAUGUUGGUUUAUUUUUUGGUGUAAUGUUAAUUUUACAUCCUUUACUGAAGGUGUAAGGUAUGCUUUAUUUUGCAACCUGCGUGAGAAUGUGAGAUGAAGGUGUUGAUUAAAGAAUUGAUCUUAUAGCAACGGCUCAAGAGUAGCCUUAACACCUUCAACACAAUGCACAGGUGAGAUAGAAGUGUUAAUUAAGAAUUGAUCGUAUAACAAGGGCUCAAAAAUAGUCUUAACACCUUCAACACAAUUGCACGGACGAGAUCAUAUGAAAGCUCUGCAAGACCAGUGAAACUUGAAACAUAAAGAUCAGAAAACACGUAGCGGCCGUCUACAAUACAAAUGUAGUUUGUAUUUUACGUAAAAAUAAUCAAAUCUGUAAAAUCUUGCAAUGUGUACAAAUAUUAAAUAUUAAGGCCCCGUUUGGAUCGCGGGAUAAGCGGGGAUAACGAAAGUUAUCCCCGCUAUUCCACCAAACGGGGUGAAAUUUGGCCGGGAUAUUUUAUUCCGGUCAAAUUUUGCUAUUCUCGGUUAUCCCGGAAUAGCAAGGGAUUUGCUAUUCCACCAUUUUGGUGGAAUAGUGCUAUUCCAAUGCUUAAUUUCAAACUUAAUUAAACUUAUAAAUUGAAUUAAACUAAAUUAUAUAAAUAUAAUAUGUUAUAUAUUAUAAUAUAUUAUUUUUAUUAUAAAAUUAUUAAUUGUACUAUAUUAAUACAUAUUAUUUAUAUUUAAAUAUUAUAAUAAAAUUUAUAAUAAAUUAUAUUUAAAUAUUAUAAUAAAUUCUUUUUAUUAAAUUUAAAUUUAAGUAGAAUUUUUAAAAAAUUUAUAAAUUUAUUAUAAUAAAUUAUUUUUAUUAAUUGUUCCCACCACUAUUCUUAUUUUAAAAUUUUAAAAAUUAAAAAUUUAAAUUUUUAAAAUUUAUAAUUUAUAAUCUCAAAAUUAAAGUUUAAAAUUUAAAUUAUAAAUUAUAAAUUUUAAAUUUAAAUUUUGAUAUUUUAAAUUUUUGAAAUUUAAAAUUUGAUAUUUUAUAUUUUUUUAAAUUUAAAUAUGAUCUUAAAUUUAAAGUUUGAAAUUUAAAAUUUAAAAUUUUGAAUUUAAAAUUUGAGAUUUUAAAUUUCAAAGUUAAAAUUUUAAAUUUAGAAAGAUAAAUUUAAAAAUUUAAAAAUUCAAAUUCAAAUAUAAUAAGUGAAUAAUAUCAUUAUUUUUUAUUUACAAAAUCCAUUAUCUCUCUUAUUCCAUCUUACCUAACCAAACGUUAUUUUUUUUAUUCCAGGAAUAACCCAAUUUUUAUCCAAACGUAAAAUUAAUCUAAUCCUCGUUUAUACCUCAAUUUAUACCUAUUCCUGGAAUAGCCACUUUUUUCUUAUCCCCGAACCAAACGAUACCUAAAUAUACGCAUGCAAAUGCAUGCUGAAGGCGCCAGAAUAUUCACCCCCAACUCGGGACACCAACGGAUAAAAAGAGUUUUUCAUAAUUCCAUCAGAGCUCCCGCCACUAGUCGUCAUGCUGAUUGAUGCUUAUCCCCACUCCCUCUCCCUCUUCGUAAGGAAAGAAGCCAAUAGGCCACACCGGAGACGAAGAAGCUCACAAACCAUGCGUUGUUGUAGGCCACAACAAAUGCGUGCCGCGUGUUCGACAAAAUUCCCACAUUGCACAGAAACCCCGGGACUAUCGGCAAAAUCCCGGCGACGAGAGCCGCCAAUGCAGCAGCAUUGAAUCCGUUCCAGUAGUAAUAGGGCCCGCGAGGAUUCUGCGAGUACAAGGCGGCGACGUCCAAAUCCAUGCGCUUGACGAGGUAGUAGUCGGCGAGGAUUAUCCCCCCGAUCGGCCCCAUGAGUGCGGAGUAGCCGAGCAGCCACGUGUAGACGAAGCUCUCGCUGGAGCUCAGCAGCCGCCAGGGCUGGAACGCGAUCCCCAGCAGCGCAGUAACGAGCGCUCCCCUGGCGAACGUGAACCUGCGGGGGCUGAGAUUCACGAGGGCGUUGGCGGGCGCGACCACGUUGGCGGCGAUGUUGGUGGUGAUGGUGGCGAGGCUGAUGCCGAAGAUGGCGACGAGCGUGGUCGGGAGGCCGCCGCCGAUCCGGCCGAGGAGCUGGAUGGGAUCGGAGAUGACGCGGCCGAAGAUGACCUCCGUGGAGGACGUGAUUGCGAGGCCGGCGAAGGUGAAGAGGCCCAUGAACACGGGGAGGCCGGCCUGGCCGACGAUCUGGUCGGCCUGGCUGCGCGCGAACCGGGAGAAGUCGGGUAUGUUGAGCGCGACGGUGGCCCAGAAGCUGACGUUGGCGGUGAGCGAGGGGAAGAAGACGGCCCAGAACUGGGAGCGGGUGAGGCGGGGCGGGAUGUACUUCUCGAGCUCCCGGAUGCCGCGCAUGCCCCGCAGGACGACGGCGAGCUGCGCGAGCCAGAAGAGGAGGAAGCAGGAGAACUGGAGAGGGGAGGUGCCCAGCCAGGAGACGGGGGCGAGGGCGGCCGGGGAGGACUUGAGGGAGGGCGGGAGGAGGAGGAAGACGGCGCGGCCGCCGAUCCAGGACUCGAUGCCGAACCAGCCGCAGCCGACGAGGGCGCGGAGGAGGGCGGGGACGUGGGCGCCGCGGAGGCCGAAGGCGGCGCGGGCGAGGACGGGGAAGGGGACGCCGAGGGCCGCGCCGGGGACGGCGGUGAGGACGAGGGGGACGAGGACGAUCAGGUUGGCGGCGACGACGGUGGCGACGCCCUGCCACCACGACAUGCCGAGGUCGACGAGGCUCCCGGCCAGGUAGUAGGAGGGCACGCCCACCACCAUCCCCACCCACAGGCUCGCCAUGUCCAGCGCCGUCAAGGUGCGCUGCGACGGAGGGAUCGGGGCCAGGUCGGAGUCGGAGGAGACUUCUACUCGGGAAUCGGGAGAGCAGCGAAGUGGGAGGAGGAGGAGGUGCUGACUCGGGUUGCGGGAGGAGGAGGAGGAGGAGGAGAGGCGGAGGAGGGAAGGGGUGGAAGGAGAAGGGUGGAGGUAGUUGAGGCGGAGGGCGAUGGUGGUGGUGGUGGUGGUGGGGGAGAGGAGGUGGUGGGGCUGGAGAUGGAGACGGAGGCAAGAGGACUCCAUGAAAGUUGGAGAGGGAGAGAGAGAUUAGAUUCAACCAGAUGGGGUAUAGGAAUCUUAACCUAUGAGGAAUGGGGGUGGACGGAUAUCUCCCUCUUUUGUAAGAUGGCAAAUGAUGUAUGUGUGUCUGAGAGAGAAUGUAUUUUAUUUAUAUUAGAAUAUAUCAGUUAUAUUAAUCACGAGGCAUUUCUAAUCAAUCAAAAUAUUUUUUUAAUUUAUUUAUUCUAUUAUGAUUAUAAAAAAAUAUUUUUAUUAUAUUUUUACUUUCAAAUGAACUAUUUGUUUUUAAUAAUGUAGUACAAAUGAUGCAGUACAAAUAUAAUACGCUAAACUUUAUUUCCCUUUGAGCCCAUAAGUCAGAAAAGAAAUCUAAAAUACACCCAUUAUAUUAUUCACGUGAUAUACCCACCAAUAAGAUUAUCCUCCUAAAAUUCACUCGUCCAUGAUUAAUAGAAAAAUAUUUUUACUGUACUUUAUCAUCAAAAAUAUAUAUAUGUUUAAUCCGAUGCUUCAUUAAUUAUUGAGAAGCAAAAUGUUAGUUAUAUAUCCAAAAUUCAACCAAAAAACCUGAAUCAGCUGAGCACAGAAAAAAUGGAUUAGGCAUGAUGCAAUCAAAUGAUAUAACAGAUUGCAGAUACCGAAACUCGCGGCUUUGCAUGAAGCAAAUAAUGAAACUCUGUACAACUGAACGGAGUAAAGCCCUUGCACAAUGAGGCUAGCAGUGCCUAGUUUACGGGAGAUAUAAUAGAACUAGUUACCUUAUAACUUACAACCAUUCAAAUGUAGUGCAGCAACACAAUUUUGACCACCACCAACAAGAUACCACGACUAUUCGGGCGGAACAAACCACUCUCCACCAGAUUUCAUCAUUCAAGUCUUCUAAUAUAAGUAACUUAAUUUGUAACAUAGAAUUGUCCAGAACACGAAGAGCGAACAAUAGAAGUCAACCAGCAUUAGAAGAUAAAGUCGAGCAACUUGGCAACAAGGAUGAUCAAAGAAGAAAAGAAGUUACAAGCACAUCGACCAUAGCAAGGGGAAAGGAUGCAGAGAAAGAAGGCAAGUACUUUCCAACUCUACUUCACAUCCAAAAUUUACCAGAAACAAAAGCCGAGAAUUGGCUGCUACUACCGAGCUCUGUAGUAGUCACGCUCUCUUCCAUACUCGCGGCCUCUGUCAUAAUCACGGUCUCUUUCUCUGUCUCUCCCCCUUUCCCUAUCGCGAUCCCUCUCCCUGUCUCUGCUACGGCUCCUUCGCCUCUCCCUCUCAUGACCAUCCCUUUCCCUGUUCCUGCUGCUCUCCCUGUCUUCAUAAUCUCUUCCCCGGUCUCUGCUUCUCUCUCUGCCAUCUCUUCCAGUCACAUCUGCAACAGCCAUUCAAGAAUCAAGACAUUGCUCUCUUACAAAACCCAUUAUUCAAUGCCAAAAGUAAAUGGUAAUCAAACACAAUAAGAACUCCACAAGUAAUUUUCACAGAUGAAUAUGAAUAUUAUUAACGCUGCAGCUACAGGAAAUAAAGGAAAAAAUAUAAACAAUCUUAGGAGAGAGCAAAACAUACCUAAUUCUUCAACCUCCCAUCCAGCACGACCUGAACCUGGGACCGCCUGUCCAGCUUCAGAUUGCUGUGCUUUGGCACGGAAUUUCUUUUUGAGGUUACCAAACUCAUCAUAUAUCUCUCCAUCGUCCUUAACGCAAAGAAAAAAAAGUUGUUUGCAGGAGGGGUAAAAAACAAAAAAAGAAUGUCAUAGGCAUGCAAAUUAAAGAAACUCAGCCCUAACCUCUUCAGCUUCUUUUCGGCGCCUUCUUGUUUCUUCUAUUUCUUCUUCAUCGAGUUCUUUGUAACCACCAGCACGGCCUCCUCUGAGAAAUUAACAAUGAAAAAUUCAAUUCCCAAGAACCGAACAGCAAAACUAUUAAUUACUUGGUAACCAAUAAUGCUACAGCUUCAAAUUUGAAAUGAAAAGAUAAACUGUCGAUAACUGUGCUGCGAGCACAGUAGUGAAAAGCUUUCUUACCUCACACCACCCUCAUUGUGACCUGGCUUAUUGGUGUUACAGAUGUUGCACUUAGUCCGCUUGGCCCAAUUAAUAUUGCCACACCUGAAAUGCUCAUUUCGUAACCAAAAAAUAAAAUAUCAAAUGUCAUAUUACGUUCAUUUGUCACACGGAAAAAUAUUUCUUAUUGCAUAGUAUCAAUAACAUGCCAAAAAAGAGAGACAGAAUAGGGAGGAGAUACAUAUUACGAAUGUAAGCACUCUAACAUAUAUUUCUGCAGAAUAGGUAAACAAACUUUCAAGAAUUCAAAAAAAAAAAGAAGAAGAAAACUUUCUCUAUGUUAUUCCAUAACAAUCUCCGAGAAUUAACCGUCACUGCAUUUAGGGCUUGUUUGGUUCAUCCAUUUUGGGUAUGGAAUGGGAAUCGGUUUGAUCAAAUCCGGUUAAUUUUGUUUGGUUCGCAUGAAUCGGUUUGGAAUUCCUAUUCCGGACUGGAAUGGAAAUGGCCCAUUAGCCUUCAACUUGAUUCCGGUCUUCUAGCCCGGAUUGAGAUUUCAUUCCGGAAGCCCACUAAGUUCUCGAAGUCCAUGUGACCAUCUCACCCUCCUUCUCUUCAUCCCUUUCUCAUCAAAAAAAAAAAAAAAACCUAUCCUCUCUCAAAAUCCUAUUCCUAACCCACAUCAAUAAAAGUUUUUUUUUUGGAAAACUUAUUAGAGAAUAGUAUUAUAUUUUUCAUAAAUUUUAAAUAAUAUAAAUUUAUAUUUGAGAGUAAAAUUAGUAUUAUAAUAUCCUAUAAUUUUUUUAGUUUAUACGAACCAAACAAUGAAAUGUGAAUAACUCAUUCCAAUUCCCAAUCCACAAAUAAACCAAACGUCUUGGGGGAGUGGGUCAUUCCAAUUACCAUUCCAAUUCAUUCCCAUUCCAUUAUCCAUUCCAAUUCCACCCUUGAACCAAACAAGCCCUUAGGGUAUGUUUGGUUCACCUAUUUUAGACUAUGGAAUCGGAAUAGAAUGCAUUGAUUUCGAUAGUUGCCGUUUGUUUUUUAGGAAUCAGAUUCCGAUUCCCAUUCCACUCCGGAAUGGGAAUGGCUAAAUCCAUUUAUGAUCCAAUCCGGCUUUCAAUUCUGAAUUGGCUCAUUCCAAAGUAACUAUUCAAAAUCCUCUUUUAUCAAUACCUACCUCCUCUCCCUUCAUCACUUUUCUCUCUCUUAAUCAAAACCCUCUCUCAAAAAUUUUAAAUUUUCAUUCCGAUUUCCAUUCCAAUAAUGAACCAAACAUUUUUGGAUGAUUCGUUAUUCCAUUUCCCAUUUCAAAGCAAUCCAAUUUCAUUUCUCAUUCCUACUCCAAUCAUGAACCAAACAUGCCCUUAUACUCCAUAAAUGCAAAAGUUAAGUCCAUAAAGUCAAUAAUAGCACGCUUCUACGUCAACAGUUCCAAAUAAAGAUAUUAACCACAAAAGGAAGCUACAUAUAACAAGUUAGAGGGCACUUGCCCUUUAAAAGCUUGGGAGAUUCGCUUGGAUUUUUGAGCCCUUAAGAUGAUACUUAAAAAGAAAAAAAAGGAAAUUUUGUAUGGGGAGUUUUAACCAGGUGGGAUAUUUCUUACAUUGGGCAGGACCAAUCAUUUGGACCGAAAAGACCUGUAGGACCACCAACAGGGCGGCUCCUUCCACCUGCAUCACUACCGCCGCGGCCCCUUCCUCGACCAGCACCACCACCGCCACCACCCAUGCCACCAGCACCCGCAGGGCGAGCUGUUCCACAACGGUUGCACACACCACGGAAUGCAAAAUUCACAUUGGAGCAGCUGCUACAAAGAAAAGGCAUGAGAAAAGAAAAUAUAUUCGCGAAAAAGAGACUGGACUAGUAGUAUGAAAUUUGCAGUGCAAGAAAAGUCGCUCACCAAUCGCCACAGACCUUGUAUUUGGGCAUAACCAAUCACCAUCUUGCUGCCAUGCUUUCCCGGAGGGGUCACCUCGUCCUCUACCUCGGCCUGUGCCGUUGUCCAUUUCAUCAUAUCCGCCAAAAUCAUCUGCCAUACUUGGAUUUGCAGCACUAACUGAGUCACUAACUGAAUCUUUGGUCUUUGACUCAGCUAUGUAUACUUCAAUGGUGCUCCCGUGAAAAUCCUUGUUGUGAAACCAUUCUACUGCAGCCAAAGCAGCAUGCGGAUCCUCAUAUGUAACCGUUGCAUCACCCUUUGGUUCGUCGGUCACUUUAUCCCUGUACAACCAAAUUUUUGGCCUGCCAGUCUUUUUAUCCUUCUGCAGUGAUUCAAACAUACAAACAGCCAAGCAGUGUGAUAAGCAUGUUGGAUAGUUCAACAGAAAUAAUCAUGUUUAAGAGAUUUGAAGAACUUCUGAGAUGGUUUUAAAACGAUACCUGGUGAGACCCCAUACCUUUAGCAACCCUAUAGUGCCAAAAUACUCGGCAAGCAUAUUCUCAUCAGUUCCAGCAGGUAGUUUACAUACGUAGACAGAGCCAUUAGAAGGUCCACCUCUUGAAGCGUAACUUGCCAUCUGACACAAUGUAAAUAACACAUAUAUGAUAUAUUCCUCACUAGCUAGUGCACAUUUGGAGAAAAGUAUUGCUAGACUGACAGACAGCGAUUGAAAGUAAGAUAUAAGAUUGCUGAGGUCACUUAACAGUAACAAAGUAUCAAAAGUUACAUAUACAAAAUUUUCCAACCAAGAGAUAAGCUGAACAUUUGUAAACUUUUUAGAGGUAAAGGCUAUUUUACCAGAAUUAGGGCACAAGAAGUGAAAUGAAAAACUAGUUUGGUACGAUUUACAAAUUGCAAUGAACUUAUUAGCAAAAUGUACUAAAUCAGUCUCCAAGGAACAAAUACAGACCUAGUCAGGGCAUCUGGCCAGUUGUUCAGAAAGACCACUCUUUUGUUCUGUAUUAUUCCUAAUAUAAAAUCCAAGAAAUUUUCUAUUGGAGCGUAAUAAUUUUAGAUUUAGAUAGGCAAGGACAAGGAUCUCCUAUCAGGUCAUGAAUUUAUUUUACUAUCAAUAUAUGUGCACAAGGUGAUAGGCUUAUGACUUCAGAUAAUUUUACAUAACAUGCUCCACAAGAUCUGCGCUAUAUUUGCCGAAUUGAUCGCACUUGUAAUCAAUAAGUUACAAGGAUGUGAUAACAAUAAUGGCACGCAAGAUCACAAGCUUCAGACAAAAUAGUGAACAACCCAACCAAAUAAAUUCUCUUCAAUCUACUUCGACAAAAUCGUGAGCUGCAAGGGAAAAAAGGGGAAAAAAAAAAACAUUGCUAGAUUCACACGAGUUACUCGUCUUAAGAUUUCAUCCACUACUCAAAAAUUAUUAUGCUCAUAUCUACCAAACCAAAAUUUACUCUGCUUGGAAACAUAACAAGUUGCUACACGAAGAUUACGAAUUUCAGCUCUAAUUGCUAAAGAUCACGCCCAAUUUGGGCCUCACUAAACAUCAACAAUAGCAAAAUAGUGUGAAUCACUCAUCUUAAGAUUUCAUCCACGAAUCUAAGAUUAUUUACCAAACCAAAAUUUACUCUGCUUGGAAACAUAACAAAUUGCUACACGCGGAUUACGAAUUUCAGCUCUAAUUGCAUAAGAUCACGCCCGAUUUGGGCCUCACGGAACAUCAACAAUAGCAAAAAUACAUCAAAGAAAUCCCAAAAUCUCGCCCAUCUCCUAAAUCAAACGAACGCCCAUUCCCACGAUACAUAUAAUCAACCAAAAAAUAAAAAAUAAAACCUAGAUCAAUUCGCAAAAUAACCAAUAACAUGAAAAGACCAACCAAAAACCACAAAAUCGAGCAAUAGAUACACGAUCCAAUAGGACUAGUAAAAUUCGCAAAAUCGAAAACUUGGGGCCUGUUGAGAGAUCUAAAAGGAGGAAUUCGCACCUCGAGUAGCCAAUUUUGCGUCGCGAAAACCUUCUCUCGAACGAAACCUAGAAAUAAAAGAACGAAAAGGAGACGAUUGAAGAAGCUGUUUACAGUGGGGUUGAGAAUGGGCCCAGCUUUAUAUGAACAGUUCGAUCGAGGAAACACCGACUGAGCCCAUGUUUAUUUUAUAUGGGAUAGGCCCACUUUUUCAUCAUAGUUUGCUCGCAUUAUAUUGGGUUUAAUUUGGGUUUGGGCCCAAGCGUAGCAACGCGACGAGCACGUGUGUGUAACGUGUGUGCCCAAAAUUUUUUUAACAAGAACAAAAAAAAAACAUAGUUUUUUUUUUUUUAGAGAAAGGCAACACGCUUCAUUCAUUGAUAAUAUGAACUAGACUACAAAGGUGAGGCAACGGGACCCUGCAAAGAAAAAAAAAUAUAGUUGAACAAAAGUAACUUAUGAUUAAUAACUUCUUCUUUUUCUUUUUAUGGAAAUUGAUGAUAAGAGUUACCCACUAACCAAGUAUUAUUAUUAUUAUUAUUAUUAUUAUUAUUAUUAUUAUUUAUAAUAAUAAUAUACUUACGUAAGGUUACAACUACAGGUGAGAAAAUUUUGUAUUGGCUACGGCACAUGUCGUGAAACAUUCAAAAAAGACGAGAGUACGAGACGGAUUGGAUAAGCUUAAUAAUAUGUCUUUUUUUAACUCUAUCUAUCUAUCUAUCUAUCAAUAUUGUUAUAUUGUUGCAGCAAAAAUCCUGCUAUAGUUUUUGCAUCAAGUACCUUUUUUUUAUUUUGACAAAGUUGCCAAUUUUCUCUAGUUUAGAGCACAGGAUUUCUUUGGCACGUACUUAAUCUUACUGAUACCUAGCACAAUUACCUAUAGAUUUAGCAGUUCAUAUUCGGAAUCUCAAAUUUGAAGGCUAGUCAUUUUAUAUUGCUCAUUAACUUCAUUUCUAAAAAAAUAAACAAAAUGAAUAACUUGAUAUCUUUCUUAAAAAGAAAAGAAAUCAAUCUGAUGUACAUACUGUAAAAAUUUGCAUUCGUAAAAAAUAAACGAGCCAUGCUACUUAUAUACCUAAAAUAUAAUGGUAAAUCUUACAUUUUCCUAUCUAAAAAUUAAUUUUCUACACUAGUCUGAUUAAUUUUUUUCUUUACUACUAAAAAUUUACCGACUGUCCCUAACGCAAAUGGCAAAGGGCUGGGUGGUUGGUACCCGAGGUCUCAAAUUCGAAUCCUAGUUGAUUCACAUUCCAGCUAAGUUUAUUUCUAAAUGAAAUAAACGAAGCGGGUAGCGUGCUACCUAUCUCUCAAAAAAAAAAAAAAAAACUAAAAAUUUGAAAAAGCAAACUUAAAUUUUUAGACAGAGGAAUGUUAUAAAUACAUCCAGAUUUUGGAUGCAUAGUUAGCACUUUCUCAAGAUAAAUUACAUGAGAGGGUACCGAUGAAAUAUCUUUUGACAGAAUCCUAAUAAAAGUCAAAGAAGGACCUUCCACUCGACUUCGCCCGACCCAGCCAAAGUCGUUCCUAUCACACCUCUCUUCAAUUCCGCGGCCAUUGCACACAGAGAAGGCACACCACAGAAAACAGGCAACUGGGAAAUUAAAUCUCUCUAUUAAAUUUACGAUCACUAUCCCAUUUUGGCUUCACACGAAUAAUCUGCAUCCAAAUUAUCCACAAUUUCAUUUAUAAAUAGAAGAUCUCUAACAUUUUAUAUUAUUAUACUGCAAUAAAUUCAAGGAAAAAAAAAAUGCGUUGUUGCUACAGCAGAAGUAGAAGCUUAUCUAGUGUGGCCGCCAUGGCCCCCUCUCUUGUUGCACCAAGCUCUGUGCUGCAGUUGAACCUGUCGUCGGGGUUCUACACCGUCAUCGUCUUUUUCUUCGCCUUUCUCUGCUUCGUCCUUCUUUGGGGCUAUUGCCGCCGCGGCAGCAGCGGUCACCGGACUGCCGCCGCACUCCACGGCCACCGCCUUAUGCAGCAGCUGCAGCACCACCCCCACGGCCGCUUCUUCCCGACCGCGGCCUCGACGCCGCUGCCCUCGAUGCCGUACGGUAGCAUCAAGGGCGUGAGAGCGACGGAGACCGGUAAUCCCCCCGAAGACUGCGUCGUGUGCUUGACGAAGUUUGAGGAGGGGGAGGAGGUGAAGGUGAUCCCGACGUGCGCGCACGUGUUCCACCCGCAGUGCAUCGACCGGUGGCUCGCGCUGAACGACUCGUGCCCGCUUUGUCGGUGUUGCAGCAUAUCGGUCAGCGAGAUGGCCGCUACCGGAGGAAGUACGAAUGGUGGCGGUGGUGGUGGCGGUGGCGGUGGUGGUGGUGAAGAGGAAGAGAGAGAUGUUGUAAGGGAGGAGGAGGUGACAAUGGCCAUGGAACAGAUACAAAUGAUCACAGAGGAACGAGCGAGGCAAAGAACAAUCCCACUGCGCAGUAGAAGCAUAUGAUCAUCUCAAAUUAAACUUGCAAUGGUAAUGAAGUGUGUGUUUCACUAACUACAAAUUUUGACAACGCUCGUGUAUAUGACUUCCUCACUCUUUUAGUUUUUGGAGCUUUUAUUAUGAAAAAAACCUUAAAUAUAACUAUAAAUUGUAAGCUUAAAAACUUCAAUUUUGCAUAUUUGGCUGAUUCGAACGCAUACAAAAUUUAUUGGAGAAAAUUUAAGCAAAAAAGGAAAAAAAAAAAAAAAAUGGUACUUCUUAGAAACUCCAGCAGUGCAAAACAAACACUAAUAAAAAAUUAGUUUUCCUCCGGAAUUAGAUGAUUCGACAAUAUCACAUUAAGGUAAGUUUUGACACCUAUUGGUAUUGACAUUUUCUUAGUAGCUCCCACUAAAUAAAAGAAACAUUGUUAUCGCUUACAUAACUAGUUUUUAUUUACUUUCUUUUUUUUCUCGGAAUCACAACACAUUUGAUUUUACAAGUAACUAUUGAAAGAUGCUUGAUCUUACGAUGAAUAUUGACUAUUGAUUAAUUUCAAGAAUAAAUUCAAUAAUUCUACCAUGCAGACGUAAACAUUUAUUCUUGUUUCUACUAGAAAAUGUUAGGGGCGGCUCCUCCAAUAUUUUUUCAAAGAUUGAUUCUCAGGCACGGAAAAACAAACAAAUAAAAUAAAAUAAAAGCUAUUCCCGUUUUCAGUUAAACAGAAUUUCUUCAAUAAUUAAUAAUAAAUCAGUAAUUAAAUUACUAAUUAUAAUACAACUUAAAUUAAAUUAAUGAGAAUAAUUCGUGAUUAAAAUAAAAAAAAAGGGAAGAGUAACUAGAAAUGAACUUCUCUGCGAGUAGGCGAUCUGGGCCUGUUUCGAGUGGGCCCAACGAAAAGAAAGCAAAGAAUCUUGACCCAGUGAUGAUUAACAUAGAAGCUAACUACACCAAAUUGAAAUAAUCACUGGAAUGCUGAUGGAAGUAUACUAUAUUAUCCAAAUAUUAAAAGGUUAGAAAUAAUGAAUUAGGUUAUUAUACUAAUAAUAGCACUAAGCCUUUUGUGCUAUUAGGUUUCGUCCCUUUGUGAUGAAGAAAUAUACGAUUAGGAUAAUAAUAAUUUUUUAGGCUGAGUAGGUGGUUGAUUAAAUAUUAUAAUUUAACAAAUAUAAAUAGUCAAAAAAUUAAAUUUAAUAACGAAAAAUUUAGUAGUACAAAGCGUUUGAUGCUGUUGGUUGUAUAGUAGGUGAACUUUUGAAUCAAUUUAGCUUACUGCUUGAAUGUGAUUUUAUUACGAAUCCAAAAAUAAUAAAAAAACAAAACAUAGUUACUGCACUCCAAUCAUCAAUUACUUAACAUCUCCAACCUCGUCAAACAACACACCAAUCUAAUUAAUUAACCUCAAAAACACACUCAGAUAUCAACAUCACAAUACACUCGAUCAAACGACGUAGGCGACGAGAGCUUUACAAUGACUUGGGGGCAGUACACUCUGAGCAUGUAGUGCCGGGUCUUCACCACUCCUACCUUGAACCGGAUCCUGGCCCGGACCCUCACCUCGACGGGCAGCUCCCCGGCCGACCGGUCGUGCUUAAUGUUCCUCGCGACGUCGGGGAGCAGCGGCGCCUCCCGCGCUGCUGGCGCCGCCUCGAUCCUCGUCACGUUCCUUCGCGGCUGGAAGAACGGCGCCGCCUCCGUAAACGCCAGCAUCUGCUCGCCGUACCACACCGCCACCUCGAAGCUGUCGUAGUACAGCGCCACCUUCCGGUUCCUGCGGUUGUCGGCGCGGAGGGUCAGGUCGAACGUCGCGUUGAGGGCGUCCCCGCGGGCCGUGAUGUUGAAGCCGCGCAGGCUGGCGCCGUCGACGGUGUACUCGACCGGGGCGGGGCGGACAGCGAGCCAGAAGAUGAGGACCGCAAGGCCCGCAACCACGAUGACGGCGGCGAGGGCGAUGGCGAUGCAGCGCAGGGGGCUCAGGCGCCUGCGCGGGGCGGUCCCGGUGCUUCUGCCGCCGCGGCGGGGACCUGCCAUGGUGGUGUUGUAGAGAGUGUUGGGUAGUGUAACUGUUUGAGGAGGUGUAUGGGGGUAGCGUGGUUUUAUACAAAGAAAAAGAGUGGAAUUAAUGGAACUUUUGAGCUAGAAUGAGAAGUGGUGGUUAAUUACAGGCUGGAGGAGAUCCCUGGCCAAUCAACUUUGAUGAUCAGUAGGUUUUGAGAUGGUGCGAUAUAUAAUGUUUGUUUGUUCUCUGUUCUCUGCUUUGUACUACUAUUCUGUGUGUUUCUUUUUUGCUUUGCUUUUUGCCUUUGAAUACUUUUUGGCUUUAGAAUCCUUCUUGUUUACUCUAUGAUUUAUGCAUCUGAAGAGUUCAUAGACACGCUUUUGACAAGAGAUCCGAUGUACACUUAAGAAAUUAAUCUCACUAUGAUUUGAUUCUCUCACUAAUUUUCACGUAUGCUUUGGCAAAUCUUACAAUGGCAACAGUGUUAGAUGAUGGAUACUGUGAUUUGAAUUCAUGAUCUAUUCAUGACUUGAAAAAUUAGCUUGAUGGGAAACAGUGCAGAAAAGAUACUAGCUAGAAUUAAAAAAAUAAAGAAAAAAUCAUCCUUAUCGCAAACUGACAUACUGCAUAAUUGGUUCAAGAACCGGGGAUCAACGAAUUCGGAUGUACGUAGUGUUCUAAUUAGUUCUUACGGGUAUCUUAUUGGAUUAAGCUGUACGUUAUGCCUUCUCCCAGUUUUGUUCUAAGCAUCUUUUUCAUCUACACUUUUUUAAUCCUUGCCAUGCGUCCAAGUUAUCCCAUUAAUGUGCCGGAUAAGCCUUGUGUGCUAAAUUGAACAGCAAGAUUGAGUUGUCGCUUGAGCUCAGCACGAAAUUGAGAAUAAUUCUACCGUUCAUUAGCAGCGUGAUAAUUUUGUGUGUCGAAAUUUAUUUAGUUUUGGACUUUGGGCAUAAACAUUAAGUACAAAAUUCAGGACCUGAUAUGACCAUAUAUACUUGAUAUGAUCGGAACCUUAUAUAUAUAUAUAUAAUAUCAGAAGUUAGGGCCUUGAUAUACUUUACAAGUAUCACCCAAGUGAUACUUGUGUGGUUUUUAAGCCAUUUGGAAUCACUUUUUGGAUUACUAAUAGAUCCUGGAUCAAACACUAUUUCCACUAUCCCACCUACCACCAUCAUCUCAACCUCAUAAUCUUCUCAUCCAAGGGCCUAAAAACACACAAGUAUUCACUUGGGUGAUACUUUUACAAGAUAUUCUAGCUCUACUGCGUAGUUAAGUAUAUAGAUAUAGGCUAUACGUAUAUAGAGUGAGAGCAGUACUCAUCUAUCGGAAGCACGGAGCACUUCCGUUGCCUUCCAGCUCGUUUUUUGAUGUUGCAUUUUCAAAUCGGUCGAUCGGCUCCGUUAAAUUGUGAUCUAGAGUAAUUUGGAGUACCUAGAAAGUUAAUUAUAUGUAUUUUACGGAUAUCAGUGCUGGCCUGGUGAACGAAGGGGCUCAAAAGUCAACGGCAAAAAAAUAGAAUCUUACAAAAUGUAAUAAUAUGACUUAAAUUUAAGAAAUCAAAGAUAUUGAUCUUGAUUUUAUAUAGCAUAAAGAUUUUCAUCAAAAAUUUCACGUGAUGUUGAAAGUAUUUCUACACCGUUAAACUUGCAAACGGCCUCACUAACGGGCCUUUGAAUUUGUUGAUUUUGAGGGCCUAUUCGACUCACAUAGGCAAGCGGCUGAUAUCGAAAAAUAAUAAAAUUUACUUUCAUAGGUACUCCAAAUACUCUAGAUCAAAGUUUAAACGGAGCCGAUCGAGAUUUUCGGAAAAUCGCAACAUCGAAAAACAAGCUGGAAGCACGGAAGCUCCAUGCUUCCAGAUACCAUAAGUAGCCUACUCGAAUAUAGAUAGGUAUAUAGUGUAAUAGUAUGUAGUAUAUAUAUGUAUAUAUAUGGUAAGUAUAUAUGUGAAUAAUAAUAGCUAUAUAUAUAUAACAGAAUUGGAGCUCCUAUACUUUUUAGAAGUACCAGUCAUUGGUGCUUGUAAGUUGUAUCCCUUGGUUAAGGAAGUGCGGUUUAAGAUGAAUGUGGGCCCGUAGGGUUAAGUGGUGGUUGGUUGAAUAGUAUAAUUAACGGUGAAAAUUUGAUCAAGGCAUAAUAACGUAAAAAAUUUACAAGCACAAAUAUUUGGUACUAUUUACAGGCACCAUAGCCGGACUAGUAUAUAUAAAUAUAUAAUUAUAUAUAUAUAUAUAUAUAUAGUAUAUAAUAUAUAUGUGUGUGUGUGUGUGUGUGUGUGUGUGUGUGUGUGUAGUAUGGAAAAUUUUGGAUUGGCCAUAAUAAUUGAAAUAAAAGGAUGCAAGAGAUUCCCACAACCAAGCCAUCUUGGUAGUAAUAAUUUGGUUAAAUAUUAUAGCUCUAUCAGCUAUCAGCUAUUAAUUAUUAAUUGUUUCAGAUUUUUUUUACCAAAAAAUAAUUAAAAUUAUUAAUAUCGAGAGAAUUAUCAAUAAAUUUGGUAAAUUUAUUUGAAAAAAAAUCAUAUAAUUUUUUUUUUAAAAAAAAAAGUAAAGAAGGUGUCAAUUAUAAAGACGUAUAGGAUGAACUGCGUCGGUCCAGUGGACAAGGGCUAGGCCGAUUCCAAAAACAUGCGGAUCGGGCUUAAUUUGGUUGGGCCAAAAAUAGGCCGAGAACCCAUUCAUCGACUCUACAAGGCUUCUGUUUGGGUUUCUCCACAUUUAUGGCCCAAAUUCCAAGGCGCUCAUCUAGGUAUGUUUGUUUUAUCCAAAGUAAAAGUGACCAAUGUGUUAAAUUUUGCUGCAACUUUACCUUUCCAAAAUAUCAUAAGUGGCAUCGAUUUGCGUGUUACAAGAUCCUCCAUUACAAAAAAGAAAAAAAAAAAAAGAAGAAAAAUGUAGGAAAAAUAACAAAAAUUUUACCCGUUGACUCUUUUCAUCCUCUUACGUGCUACUAGUAUGAAAUUUCUUUUGAAAAAGAAAGAACUAUGGUCCAAAAGUCCACGCAAAGAGAGAAAUGGUGGACUCGUUCGCAUGAUACGACGGCACCCACUCGCACCCAACAACACCAACAAAAAAAUGGCUAUACACGAACAAAAUGAUCAUGAGUUGGAUUAGGUCCAACAACUUCUUAUCGGCGCAUCGUCGAUGCGUACGACCAGAGUGAGCCACCGAUCACCAUUCCAUUCAAUGUGUAAUCCACAUUCACAGUAUUUCAUAUUUUAUGUCCAAUAUUUCUCACCAUAUCUCAGUUCCUAACAUUUUAGUUAUUCCAAAAUAUGGAUUCAUAAAAAUUUCAAACGUAAAAGUUUUAAAAUAUUAAGUUGCUAAAGAAUGGUAUUUUAUUUUGCCACCGCCCUGUUUUUACUCUCGUGGAUGAUGAAACCAUAGAUGGAUAAAAACUCAAUAUGUAGUUUCAAAAUAUAUAAUAAUAUCUCCCCAGAAGAGGACAAAAGAGCAACCUAAUUACCUAAAUUUUAAAAAGCCGUUUUACUACGUCAACGCGUUAUAUUAACCGAGGAGAAAACGAUACCCAGUGCAAAGUCUACGAGGCCACGCAUGGGAAAAUGCCUCAGCACUAGGAGUGGUUUUUUGCGUUACAUUAAUAAUCUCGGUGGCAAAACAUUAUAGCGUGGAGAUUAUAUUACAUAAUUUGUGCUUCCACAAAUCACAAAGCACGUGACAUAAGAGGAGAAAUAUUUAAGGUGGCGGACAUUUAGAUAUGCCUCUAUAUGUUACCUAUACCAUCUUACAUUCGGUGUACGCUAGUAGGUUCAUCAGGAGCAUUUCCUUUAUUAGAUAUUUGGGCAAGUAGGAGUAUGACACACUUUAUUCUCCCAUUUGUUGGGGAAUAAUAAAUUGUGAACUUAGGUCAUGGGUGAUGAGUUUUGCAGAGUUUCAUCCCUCCACCCUAUUCGGGUUCGAAUAAGACCUGAUAAAAAAUAAAUAAUAUAUAAAGAAAAAAUUAUACAUUAAAUUUCGGAUAUGAGUUCAGAUACUUUAUACCCAUGCUUGGCUUGGACUCGACUUGAACACGACCUUUUAAUGGAUAGAGUNUCCUCCAUUACAAAAAAGAAAAAAAAAAAAAGAAGAAAAAUGUAGGAAAAAUAACAAAAAUUUUACCCGUUGACUCUUUUCAUCCUCUUACGUGCUACUAGUAUGAAAUUUCUUUUGAAAAAGAAAGAACUAUGGUCCAAAUGUCCACGCAGAGAGAGAAAUGGUGGACUUGUGUUCGCAUGAUACGACGGCACCCACUUCGCACCCAACAGCACCAACAAAAAAAUGGCUAUACACGAACAAAAUGAUCAUGAGUUGGAUUAGGUCCAACAACUUCUUAUCGGCGCAUCGUCGAUGCGAACGACCAGAGUGAGCCACCGGUCACCAUUCCAUUCAAUGUGUAAUCCACAUUCACAGUAUUUCAUAUUUUAUGUCCAACAUUUCUCACCAUAUCUCAGUUCCUAACAUUUUAGUUGUUACAAAAUAUAGAUUCAUAAAAAUUUCAAACGUAAAAGUUUUAAAAUAUUAAGUUGCUAAAGAAUGGUAUUUUAUUUUGCCGCCGCCCUGCUUUUACUCUCGUGGAUGAUGAUGGAUAAAAACUCAAUAUAUAGUUUCAAAAUCUAUCUAACUAUAUUAAAGAAGGGUUUGGGGGACCACAUGGUGACACGUGUUCCCCCAAACCCCCCUUCUCUCUCCCUAUAUAUAUAUAUAGUUUUAAAUUUGUUAUAUCAAAAUAUAAAAUUUUGAUANUACUUCCAAAUUUUAAAGUUUUAAAUUUCUAAUUUUAUAUUUUUUAUUUAAAUUUUAAAUUUUAAUUUUUACUUAUAAUAUUUGUUUCUAAAUUUUAAGCUUUUUAAACUUCAAAAUUUUAAAGUUUUAAUUUCCUAAUUUUACAUUUAAAUUUUAAAUUUUAUUUUUUACUUAUAUUAUUUAUUUCUAAAUUUUAAGCUUCAAAGUUUAAAAUUUUAAAUCUCUAAACUCUAUGAAAUUAAUUAAUUAAUUAAAUUUAUUAAUAAUUAGUUUUAUACAAUAUAAUUAAUUAAUUUAUUAAAAAUACACAUAAUAAAUCGCAUAAUAAAAUAUAAUUUGAUAGAUGAAAUUUAAAUCACAUAAAAUUUCAUUGUAUAAAAAAAAUACGGAAUUUAAGUUUCAGGAGUAAAAUUUUAAAAAUAUAGUGUAUGUGUGUAUAUAUAAUUAAUUUUAUUAAACAAUAUCUUCUACAAUUUUAUUUUCCUUCUAUUUAUUGAUUUUUUUAAAAAAUUAUUUUGAUAGAUUUAUCUCAAAUCCUUUUCAUAUAAUUUUUUAUAAAAUAAACUAUUGUAUAAAUUUACUUUGCGCAUAUACCAAUUUUAAUGACUUUUAUUUAAAUAGAUUUAACUAUUAAAUUAUUUUUAUAUAACUUUUAUUUAAUUAAUAAUUAGAUUUAUAAAACUAUAUAAAAAUAUUAAAAAAAUUAAAAUUUAUUAUAAAAAUAUUUUUAUAUUCGCAGCAUCGCGCGGGUAUUUUACUAGUAUAUAAUAAUAUCUCUCCCAGAAGAGGACAAAAGAGCAACCUAAUUACCUAAAUUUUAAAAAGCCGUUUUACUACGUCAACGCGUUAUAUUAACCGAGGAGAAAACGAUCCUCGGUGCAAAGUCUACGAGGCCACGCAUGGGAAAAUGCCUCAGCACUAGGUGUGGUUUUUUGCGUUACAUUAAUAAUCUCGGUGGCAAAACAUUAUAGCGUGGAGAUUAUAUUACAUAAUUUGUGCUUCCACAAAUCACAAAGCACGUGACAUAAGAGGAGAAAUAUUUAAGGUGGCGGACAUUUAGAUAUGCCUAUAUAUGUUACCUCUACCAUCUUACAUUCGGUGUACCCUAGUAGGUUCAUCACGAGCAUUUCCUUUAUUAGAUAUUUGGGCAAGUAGGAGUAUGACACACUUUAUUCUCCCAUUUGUUGGGGAAUAAUAAAUUGUGAACUUAGGUCAUGGGUGAUGAGUUUUGCAGAGUUUCAUCCCUCCACCCUAUUCGUUCGAAUCUGAUAAAAAAUAAAUAGUAUAUAAAGAAAAAAUUAUACAUUAAAUUUCGGAUAUGAGUUCAGAUACUUUAUACCCAUGCUUGGCUUGGACUCGACUCGAACACGACCUUUUAAUGGAUAGAGUCCGAAAGAAUUUUCAAAUUCAGACCCGGUGAAAUACUCAAUUGUAAAUAAAAAAAAUUAAAAUUGAGGGAUCAACUUCAAUAGAACUUAUAAAUAAAGAGUCUUUAUGUAUUUUCUACCUAGUAAAAAUCCUAAUUGCACUGUUCACUCUUUUUAUAUUUUUUUUAUUUUACUCCUUAUGUUUUUAACUCUAAUUGUUUACUGUUUGAAUUUUUCUUAUAAAAAAAUUUUAUUGGACUGAGUGCAACUAAUUAGAACGUGAGUUUUCUAUAGUGGGAGGUUUAUGAUUUAUCCAUAAACAAUUUAAUAAAAUCUAUAAAAAAUAUAUGUAUAUGAAUAUUAUGACCCAAUUUAGACCCGACCCGUACCUAAUCCAUACCGAAUCUUAAAUAAGUAGUAAUACGAGUAGUCACUAGCCAGAUCUGCUCAAAUAGACCGAUGGGUAUAUUAUUAACUUAAGCAUUCAGAUCCGAAUCCAAUCCGAAGUUAAAUGGGUAGAAUAUAUAUAUAUAUUUUUCUACCCUUUUUUUUUAAGGUACGGAUACAGUAUGUCAACUAUCCAGACCCGACCCGGUCCACAGACACCUUUAUAUGAGAUGCAUCACAAGUUAGUAGAAACUUAUCAUUUAUAUAUUUAUAUAUAAAACAGAUAUAUUAGAUUUUUUAAAUAAUAAGAGUAGAUAUUUUUAGAAAUGAUAAAAGACAUAUACAAUUUGGAGUUUUCUUAUUCUAACUGUCAAAUUUACGGAACAUUUGCAGAAGCUUAUCACUGAAGAUUUUCUCCCCUUGAAUAACUUCAUCCUCUAAUUUUAUCAGCAUUUAGGAGUUGCUAAGUGCAUAUGUUAAAUAUAAAAAUAUUUAAACACCAUUCUCUAUCGGCUUAAAUUUUUAGAGUACAACGGUUGUUUCACAUAGUAUCAGAACAGGAGAUCCUGAGUUUGAGUUACGCCGGGCUCUUACCCGAGACGUAAGAGAGAGUGUUAAAUAUAAAAAUAUUUUGUGUACCUAGCCCAUAAUAUGAUUAGUUUCGAGUGACGAAAAUGCCAACAUUAUGAUGUUAAUGUGGUUCAUAAUAAGUUAACUAACUUUGAUUAUAGUUCAUCUUUUGUGUACCUGCUCCAAUAAACACUUCGAUCGUCAUGAAAGUGUCAUAUACCAUAAAUAUUUAUGUUACGCAUACGCUUACUACGUAGGUUUUGAUGAUUAAGAAAGCUCACCUUUUCUGCACAUAUUAUUCUUAUCUAAACAGCAUUAGUUGCUAUUUAUAUUCACCAAUUAUUCGGUAAGCAUCCUUCGUGUACUUGUUUAGUGAAGUAAGCGAGACAGUUAAUAUGAAUAUCACAUAGUUUUUGUACUUGUUUUCUGAUGUUAAGUAUGAGCCAUGUCUCACUCUGAUUUGAUAACAGCAUUGUAAAGAAGGUAACCUAAUGAACUAGUCCCUCCAUCAACAACACUCACUUAUUAGGGAUUCACAAAUUAAGCGAACAGCGCGAGUUUUUACAAAUUAAGCACAUACAAAGAAAGAGCUAGCAGACCUAAUGAAAUGCUUUUUUUUUUUUCGCAACUCUUUAGGGCAUCUGCUGCUACUGUUAAAACUCAGCUGCAUUACAAAUACAAAAGCGAAAGUACCGAAGGCACUGACGUGAUUGCGCCGACAGCGUUAAUAAUUAAAGAUAAGUGAUAUCGCAAAAUUAUUUAUUGCUAAACAACUGUGACUCUGAUAGUUUACCUGCUUUCUCAUUGUCUUGUUGUUGAAUUUUUCGACGGUAAUAGUUUGAGAGGGAUCUUUUUCGCUCCUCUCGUCAUUUGACGGUCGCCGACCUUAUUGAGUGAAGUCACUGCUAGCCUUAUACUGUUGUGGUUAUUGUCAAUUUUAUUUUAAUCUAAAGUAUAAUUCGCAACUAUUAUUAGUUCAACUCGGUUGCUGCAACAUUUUACAGUUACAUACUACAAAUUUAGAAUAUUUAGUAGUACAAAAUUUUGAAGCGCAGUCAAUAAAUAUCAACAUUUGUAGCACCAUACAUGUGAAACGAAAAGGUCUCAGUGCGGUCAAGCUUUAUAUCUCUCUCAAAGAACCUAAUCUGGCAUGACAUAUACUCACUUAAAGGCUAAAGCAAGAAAAUGGCCUGUUUGAUUCAUUUUCUAAUUGUUUGCAUGAGCAGCGGUCCAUUCUGUGUACUCUUUCAGGUCACUAUUAUGUUUCUGUACUAUUUCAGGACCGAAAGAAUGAGUCGUGAACGUAUCCAUAAUGUGAUUGACGGAAACCAGAAGCAGGAAUAUGAGACGUCGAAAACAGCUUCACCAUUAGCGGUAUGAACGGAACGGUUUCAAAGCCAAAUUGAAUAAGCUAUCGAAAACAGCUACACUAAUUGAUGCGAACUUAAAAUAUCAGGUUGGGUUUCGGAUAAAUGAACUAUAAUGAGCCCGAAUCAAGUAUCUGUGAAUUUAGUAGCUGUAUCACCAAAAUCCGUCGGCACUACUUGUAGGAAGUGUUCCCGACCAUUCGAAUCAUAAGCAGAUCGGGGUUAGUGGGUGUGGAUUGUAUUAUAUUGACACAAACUAGCUCGAAAGAAGCGCGGGUUUAUUUACGCUGCAUACUUUCGCAUGCUGUUUACUAUUAGUAUAGAGAUAUAAACAUCAUGGCUCAUCUUUAUUUUAAAACUGACAGCAAAUCUGACAUAGAAUGAUUUGGACUAAAGAGAGUAACAUUUAAUCAGUUGACGCUAAAACAGCAAUCUGAUAUAGAGAAUACAAAGCGAGGAUGGAAAAAAUGAAAGGAACAAAUACUUUUAGGAAAUGAUUUGGACUAAAGAGAGCAACAUUUAAUCAGUUGACGUUAAAAGGUUUUGCGUCAAAGUAAACUACAGAUAAAUCCAUCACUGUUCUGUACUACGUGCCAGACAAAAGAAGAGACAAGAGUUACACUGACCACGACCAUUCAGUUUUUCAUGACCAAAUCAUUUGAUCUCUUUAAUUUGUAAUCAUCCGAUCUCUUUAAUUCUCUUUAGAGCACAAAAAAUCAUUUGAAUCCUGAAUCCUUCAUUUAUCACAAGCGGCCCAGGCGUCGCGCAAUGUUCCAAGUUGAAUGAACAGAACUGCUUCCACAAUUAUAGCUAAGAAAGAUCGACAAAAAAGAAAAGAAAUAUUAGUAAAUUAAAGAUAUUCGGUCAUUUCUACUCCGUGGAACGGUUGUUUCAUGGACCGCUUAUCGGAGGAUGCUGUCCAAUUGUAGUCUAGUUUUGUGAGCUCGUUGACAUUAAAUCAAACCGAUAGCCGUCUGAUCAUGCCAUUAUAAUAAUAAUGGAACCUCUAAAGGUUGUUCCACUAAGAUAUUUUGUAAUUUAGAGCACUGAGCAGGCUAUAAAUUGAAAGUUAUGGGCAGCUAGUGUGGCUCAAGUUUCUCCAGCUUUUCUAGUUUACAAGCCUACGAAAAAGGUGGAUGCUCUCUACGCAUGAAAUCAUAUUUUUUGUGUUUCAACUUUACUCUCAUUCUAGGCUUCUGAACACUUGAGUUCACUGUGUUUCAGGUCACCUUAAUUCGCAUGAUCUGGGUAAUGCUUUCAAUCUUGUGAAGCGACAAUCAGGGAAUUUUCCUGCGCAAUUCAAACUGCAGGCAGGAUAUAAAAUCAUUUGCAGAAGCUAAGAAAGUAAGUUCAGUAUAGGUAAAUGAAUUCAUCUCUUCUGUCACAUGCAACUUUGGUACUAUUUCGUACUUAGCUCAGUGUGUUUAACGGAGAGAAUUUGACUACCGUAUGUUCAUUGGUUCUCAAUAAGACUCCGUAUAAGGUAGUUUGCAUGUCAAAAACACGGUAAUUAGGAAGAUAUUAGGCUUCAGAAUAAGAUACAAAGUUCAGAAAAAUAAAAAUAAAAAUAAAAAAACGUCUGAACAAGGAGAUAAAUCAUUGAAAAGAAAAGGGUAAGAAGGUACUAAUGAAGUGCUUUUUGAUAAAGGUUUGUCUCUUGAGUGUGACAGAGUAACAAAUCUUUAUAUUCAGAGUUCUGAUCCCAAAAAGAAACGAACACAAUGUCGCCAACAUGUUUUGUGAUCAUAUAUUGCUCUACUUUCUAAUGUUUGUUUGCGAGUUGGUACGCUCUCGAAAUCACAGCCUCCAAACUCGCUACAUUGAUAGAGUGUAUCAGCAAAACUAAUAAAUACACAAUUCAGGUCUAUUGACAUGUUUAAUUCCUGCAGAAAAAAGAUUUACAAAAAUGCAUUCGGGAAAAAGAGUGGCGCUGGCUUCGGUACCAGAAGUGGUCCUAGGCUCGGUCGCCUUUGCCAUAUUCUGGAUGCUCGCUGUUUUUCCUGCUGUUCCCUUCCUGCCCAUCGGAAGGACAGCGGGGUCUCUCCUCGGUGCUAUGUUAAUGGUUGUCUUUCAAGUCAUCAGCCCCGACCAGGCCUACGCCGCGAUCGACCUCCCGAUCCUAGGCCUCCUCUUCGGCACAAUGGUGGUUAGUAUAUAUCUUGAGAGGGCCAACAUGUUCCAGCACUUGGGCAAAUUACUCUCUUGGAAAAGCAAAGGCGGUAAGGACUUGCUAUGCAGAGUCUGCCUGGUCUCCGCACUUUCAAGUGCUCUAUUCACCAAUGAUACUACUUGUAUUGUGCUGACAGAGUUCGUUCUCAAGCUCACGAGGCAGCAUAAUCUGCCCGUAAAACCGUUUCUUUUAGCUCUUGCCUCUAGUGCCAACAUCGGGUCUAGCGCGACUCCGAUUGGCAAUCCACAAAACUUGGUUAUAGCCAUCCAAAGUAAGAUCACCUUUCUAAAGUUCUUCACCGGAAUCGCGCCCGCGAUGCUCCUCGGUGUGGCGAUCAACAUAGUGAUUCUUCUUUGCAUGUUCUGGAAUCAACUUUCCGCAAAGAAGGCCGCAGAGGAGGUUAUGGAAGAGGCAGUUGCUGAGGAUGAAGUGCUCUCGCACAAGUUCUCUCCUGCGAGAAUGUCGCAUAUGAGCCCACUAGAGGGCCCUGCUGAAAACCAUAAUGUUCAGAAGAAUAGUCCAAAGACCGACACGAAGAAAUCAUUGCCGUGCUCUGACAUGAAAAAUUGUUUGAGUAAGAAGGACUUGUUUUUGAAGAGCUUUGUUUAUCUUGUGACUGUUGGGAUGCUGGUUGCUUUUCUUCUGGGGUUAAACAUGUCGUGGACUGCGGUUACUGCUGCGCUCGUACUCGUGGUUAUCGAUUUCAAGGACGCCGGACCUUCCUUGGAUAAGGUAAUGCACGAAUUUACCCGACUGAUAUAUAAUUCACUAACUGCUUAUAGAGCCGACGCUUAUCAAUUCCCUGAAUUCUGAAUCUUGAAAGUGUUUGUUUGCGGACGAUGAUCCAGGUUUCGUACUCACUGUUGGUGUUCUUCUGCGGAAUGUUCAUAACUGUCGACGGAUUCAACAAAACCGGGAUACCGAGCGCUUUCUGGAACUUCAUGGAGCCGUAUGCGAGGAUCAAUCAUGCAAGCGGAGUGGCAGUGCUCUCCCUUGUCAUUCUACUGCUGUCGAAUGUUGCGUCCAACGUGCCUACUGGUGAGCCGGUCUCUGGUCACAAAAAGAUGUUAUUUACGUCGAGAUAUCGGCCUCUUGUUGUGAUCCAAUCCUAUCCUACCUUCUGUCAUUUUGGCUGCAGUGCUGCUUCUUGGAGGGCAGGUGGCGAGGUCGGCGGCGGCGCUGUCGCACUCGGAGGAGGCGCGGGCGUGGCUGAUACUGGCGUGGGUGAGCACGGUGGCGGGGAACUUGUCGCUGCUGGGGUCGGCGGCGAACCUGAUCGUGUGCGAGCAGGCGCGGCGGUCGCAGGACUACGGCUACACCCUCUCCUUCUGGGGCCACCUCGUCUUCGGCCUCCCCUCCACCCUCAUCGUCACCGCCGUCGGUCUCCCCCUCAUCCGAGGCUAACCAACCUACCUACCUGCAGAUCACUCGAGGAGGAGUGCGAGAUCAAUUAAUUUUAUGCUGGAUUUGUAUACCUAAUGAAUGUCAUGAUGAAUGUCAUGUUGCAUGUGUUUUCUUAUUUCUUCUUUUGUAUAUUUUCCCGCGCUGUCUCGUUGGUUGCCGUUUCGUGGGCGCGCCUUGUUAUAACCGAAAGAAAAUCAAGUCCGGCUACUAUCCUCUAAAGAGGAUAGAAGUCUUUAUCGUAUCAUUUCAUUGUUCAUGAUUUGAACUUCAAAUUGAUAAUCGGUAUUAUUGAAAUUGAUCUAAGCUAUUAAAAAUAUUUAGAAACCAAAUUUUAUAAUUUUUAAAAAUCAUUAACAAGUCCUAAAAGUAGAAAAAUGAAUGAUCAAAAACAAAUAAUCUUCUGAAAAUAAAGAUUAGACUUUCUCAAUUUACGAUCGAAGUUAUUAAACAUUAUCUUAAUAGUAUAAAAAAUUUUCUAUCAAAAAUUCAACUGGUUUAGAUUACUGUACACUGUUAAACAAGCAAACGGCUGAUAUAGACCAUCAAAAAAUUACCAAUUUUGCCAUCCUUUAAUCACUAUGUAAAUAAAUUUUAAAAUUUAUAAAAUUUAGUUUCUAUAUAAUUUAAAUACUUUAGAUCAAUUUUACCUGUUUCAAUCAUCGAUUUGGAUUCUUUAUUAUCAAAAACAAUUUGAUAGGAUGAACAUCCCUAUCCUCCUAAAAAGAUAGCAGCUGGAUUCAAAAAAAUAAGCUUACAAACGUAGUGUACGAGGCAUAGAGAUAGAAAAGUUGGUAAGCGGUUAAAUCAAACUUUUUAUAGUAAAAUAAUAUUUGCUUAAAAUAUAUUUUAAGUAAAUUAAAAUCGUGAAUCGUAAGUGCUAAUCAAUUAUUUCAAAAAUACGUACUGAUAAAAAAGGCGCACCAAUCACAUUCAAAGGCUUAGCCAUAACACUCGCUGGCUUCGACCUGACUCAACUCAUUUUGACGUUAGGUCUAUUGUUGAACCUCUUACCGUUAGGUUUUCUGUGGACCGCACAUCCACUCAAUUUAUCAGGCUCACACAAUUCAAUUGACUAAUCUUCUAUGUCUAUUGUCACGGAGCAGUUGUUGGACCUAUUUUAACCCAACAAAAAAUAAGAAAGGGCCAUUAUAUAUAUAUAUAUAUAUAUAUAUAUAUAUAUANUAACCCAACAAAAAAUAAGAAAGGGCCAUUAUAUAUAUAUAUAUAUAUAUAUAUAUAUAAUGCAUGCUUGACGUUGCAUUAAGCGGCCGAUCUAAUAUAAUGACAGUUGAAUCUAAUAAAUAGUUCAUUUGAACAUUAAUUAAUGGAAUAAAAAUUCUUAAAAAUAUUUUUUAUUUAUGUAACAUUAAUGACUAAUUUAUUUUUUUAUUUUUUAUAUUUAUUCUCAAUUAUAUAUUGAUCUUACAGUUAAAAAUUUCUGUAUACACCACUAAUUGCAAUGUGAGAAAAGUACAAGAACUAUAGGGAUUAUUGGAUGAUAACAGCUAACUAACUGUCGAAGUGGCCUGUUUCAGACAAUAUUAUUGGCUUGAUUUGAUCUUUAAUUGAACCAAAUAAAUGAACAUUGAUCAACUGUUUAAUUUGGAUUUAUUUUGUCGCACUUAACUUCGUGUUCAGAUCUCAGUUAGGGAUAAUACGAGUUGGCUCGUUAAAGUAUGGAGUUGAAAAAUUCAGCUUGUAUUUGGCUCAUUUAUUAACAGACCGAACACCAGUUAAUUCACAAGCAACUAAAAAAAAUUUUAAAAAUAUAUAUAUAGAAAAUAAAUUUAUGAGAUCUUAUUUAUUAGAUUUUGUUCUAAUGAUUAAAAUUUUUUAUAUAAAUGAGAUUUUUUAUAAUUGAGUUGGACUUUAUAUUUAAAUUGGACUAAAAAUUAAAUAAUAAAAAAUCUAUAUUAUAUAUAUAAUUAUUUACUUAUAUAUAAAUAUAAAAUAUAUAAAUUAUAUAAAUAUAAAAUAUAUAUAUUUGAGCUGUUAUUAAACCAAACACGAAUAAGCUGACCCCAAAUCGUAUUCGGCUUAUUUAUUAAACGAGUUGAAAAAUUCAAUUCAUGUUCGACUUAUUUACUAAACGAACGAUUUAAUCUCGAGCUCAUUUCGAGUUGAACACAAGUCGGCUCGUAAACAACAACCUGAAUUGCCACCCUUAAUCUCGGUUUGUUCGACUUCGAUUAGAAUUAAAAAUAGUAUAGAACAAAAAAUCUGAAAAAGCAAAUCAAAAUUAAUUAUUUUUUCGAAUAAAAUAAAUUAUCUAUUAUUUUAUUAAACUAUGUCUAUGUAUGCUACGAAAUUAAAAAAAAAAAAAAAACACCCUUAAAUAUAUUAUUUUCCUCUAUUUAAAAUCAUAAAAAAAUUAAAAUUAUUCCACGGAUUGGCAUUGAACUAGGGUUUCCACCGGUCCCCUACCUUUACCUCUCUCUCCUCUCCGCCGCAUAAAUUUAUCUCUGCGGGAGCGCGCGUUUUGUGUGUUUUGAUCCCUUAUUUGUCGUUCCCUACGAUUCCAAUGGACGGGUUAACGACGGCGAAGGCCGAUCUAACGGUGUACGUGCACCCGUCGAAGUCCAACAAGCUCGCCGAUGCCGUUCGUAAGCAGCUCAGCUCUCUCCUCUUCACGUUAGUCGCCGUUUCCCCUCUUAAAUAUAUGUAUAUGUAUAUAUAGAGUAGGACGUGUGUGUUAUUAGAAGCACUGGGGCGUCCGUGCUUUUGAGCCGUUUUCGAUUAUUGAAAUUUUGAAUCGAUGAUCGGCUCCGUUAAACUUGAUCAAAAAAUCCCCCUACACAAAUAUUAGCACCUACUAGAAAUUCACCCUAAGGUAUUUUCAAGUUAGUGUGCUAUUUACAGUAUCUAUCGACAAAAAUCUACUUUUAUCUUGUUGGUUGAUUUGUAUGUUUUGAUAAUUUAUUUAACUCUUGAAAUUUAUUUAACUCUUGAUAACAUUUUAAAACAGUUUCAAUUUCAGUAAAUUUACAAAUCCAAAUUGAGGAUCUUAGAAUUAUCUAAAAAAUAAAUUUUAUAAUUUUUCGAUAUUAUUUACUUAGUAAUCAAAUUGACUAAAAAUGAACGACUAAAAAUAAAAAUCUUACAAAGUUAUGAUGUAGCAGUAAAAUUUCGAUCAGAAAUAUUGAUCAGACUGUAGAUAGUAUAAAGAUUUUUCUAUCAAAAUUUCAUCUGAUUUAAAUACUUAUGCACUACUAAACAUAUAAACGGCACACAUCAACCAUUAAAAAUUAUUGAUUUUGAGCCCUUUCGAUCAGUGGUAAAUAACAUCAAAAAAUUACAAAAUUUAUUUUCUAGGUGCAUUAAAUAUGCUAGGUCAAGUUUAACGAAACUAAUUGUCGAUUUGGAAGUUCCAUCAUCGAAAAUGGUUCGGAAGCACGGAGACCUCCGUGCUCCUAAUAGCACACAAGCCCUACUCUCUCUCUCUCUCUCUCUCUCUCUCUCUCUCUAUAUAUAUAUAUAUAUAUAUAUAUAUAUAUAUAGAGCUAGGCUGGUAUACUAUCGGUAGCACGGAGACCUCCGUGCUACCAAGUUGUUUUCAAUGAUGUAGCUUUCAAAUCAACGAUCGGUUUCGUUAGACUUGAUCUACAUUAUUGAAAGUAUUUGGAAAACUAAAUUUCAUAACUUUUUGACAUAUUUUGGUUAGUGAUCAAAAGGUGUCAAAAUUAACAAUUUUAAUGGUAGAUGUGAUGCGUUUGUGAAUUUAACGGUGUAAAAUAAUCCAAAUCUGAUAAAAUUUUUAUAGAAAAUUCUUUUCACUAUUUUAGGUAAGAUCAUUACAUCUGAUCUUAAAUUCAAGUUUUUAUUAUUAUUUUUUAUGCAGAUUUUUAUUUUCAGCGCUUCAUUUUUAGACUACUCGUUUGAUAGGUAAAUAAUACCGAAAAUUAUGAAAUUUAGUUUCCAAUACUUUCAAUAGUGUAGAUCAAGUCUACGCCGAGACCGAAUCAUCGAUUUGGAAGCCGCAUCAUUGAAAACAAUUUGGUAGCAAAGGCCCUCGUGCUACUGAUAGUAUAUCAGCCUGCUCUCUCUCCUCUCUCUCCUCUCUCUCCGUCUCCUAUAUAUAUAUAUAUAUAUAUAUCCAUAAUUUUAAUAAUGAUUUUGUUGGUGAUUUUUAUUUUGAGAAUCAGAUACUCGUUCAACCAUACGUAGCAAAGUAAAUUACACUUCACAUUCCUCUAUAUUUGUAAUCUCACUUGAUAUUUCAUAUUCUCUUAAUAUAGAUACGACGAACUCUUCGACGGCGUUCUACUAUCUCAUAAGAUAAGUUUCCAAAGUAACCAUGCAAAGAUUCUGCAUGGUUUAAUCCCGUACUUCGGAGUAAAAGUGCGAGCGAAACUGCUAAUCUUUUCUCCAAAACCAAACAUGCUCUUAGGUGAAUUGAACUUACAUUAUAACGAUCGUCCUACUUAAUGAGUUUUAUGUUCCAAGAGAUAUGAUUUGGAUCACAAUAUUGAGUUGCUAAACUUAACCUGCUUAAAUAAUGCAUUACAACUCUACAGAAGGAAAGGUCGUCAAGCUGAGUAAGGAAUCUAUUCAUGUCAUCGUACUCGGCUUUACUUCGGCGGCCAUUAUGUCGGAAGAUAUUCGAGAAGAGUUCAAGUACAAAAUCGUAAGAUUUAUAACAUUUAACAUGUUAGCAUAUAUAGGCCUUGUUCUGCUUCGGUGUGAAUUAUAUUUUAGGUUUUUCGGGUCUGUAAUAGGUUUCAAUAGUGACUCUUUCUUAGUUUAAGUACUUGUAUAUGUUUCUCUGUCCUGUACGAAGUUCCUAGAAGCUUUUUAUUUGCUAUCAAAAUGGAAAUUUCUAUAAGUUACGCCUUACAGAUAGGCCUCAUGUUGCAUCACUUGGAUUCUAGUUUCCUCGAUUUCAGUUCGAUAACAAUUUUUCAAAGGAAGUGAUGGAAAAAUGGGGUAAUUCGAUUUUAACUUUUCCUCUCUCUUUUCAUGCAAUGUUUGAUGCAGAAACAUGGUGCUGGAUGUUUUGCAAGUUCAUCUCACAAAUGGCACAGGAUAAAAGUUGGAAGCAUGGUACAGUUCGCGGUCAAAAGGUAACUGCAAAAGUUAUUUUCAUAUGCAAAGUUUUAUUCGUGCUGUACUUCCGUAGAAGUUGGAAAGUUGGAAGUGUGUUGUUCUUCAACUUGAGUUUUCCAGAGUAUCCAUAUCAUCAAGUUGAGAAAUAUUCGCAAAUUAACAUAUGUGUCUAAAGUGUUUUUGAAUGUAGAGUCAUGCAUAAUCCUUUUGGAGAACCUUUUUUUCACCUGGUUCUCUUGUUUCCCCUCACAAUCUGAUCGAGGGAUUUAUUAGUAUUUUUAACAUCAUUUCAAAUCCUUUGAUAUUCCAUCCUCUCACCGUUGUGUACAUACAUGUGGCAUAGGAUAUAAUGGCUAGGAUGUGAAUGUACAGCAUAUGCAGUGAAACUGAGAUAUUCUGUUUUCCCUUUCUUUAUUUGUGUGAUGUUACUGAGUAGUGUGGAUGAAGAAAUCGGCCAUAUUUCCGGAUCUUUGAUUCCACCUCAAACUGGAUGUGUUCAUUGGUUAUUAAAACAUAGUGCAGAUGCUGUAUCGCAAACCAACAGGUUCAUCUCUAACUCGUCUUUUGGUUGUCUCUUUAACUGACACCUAGGUUUUUAUUUUGAUAUAAGUGGUACAAAUUUGUAUCCACCUAAUUGGCCUAGCUAAAUUUAUGUUGUCACAUGGUAUAUUCAGAAAGGAGAAAGUACACUUUCUAAUGGUUCCUACUUGAAUACAAUUUUCGAUUUUUUGUUGCCAAUGCAAAAACAAUAUUUGGAAUGCUACUGUUCUACUCAGCUCUCAUAUUAAAAUGUCAUCUGAUGCUCGACAGAAGUCUUAAGAGAUGUAGAGACUGAGACUCCGGGCUACUUGAUAAUGGCGAUCGGUCGCAGAAUUUCAGUCGAUCACCCAAGUUGAGAAAGGGAACCGAGUGAUUAGAGUUCCAACAAUUUUUUCUUUUCUACAUGCAGUUUAAAUGGUAAUUCUCUAUCUGAAUAACAUAAUUGGAUCUCUUUAGCAUGAUGAGAAUCUGACGGUUAUUUGUUUCCAGACACCUUUAUGUUUCAGUGAAGCAGAAAGCUUUGAAGAGUUUUUGUUUUCCCCCAUUACGGUAAUAAGAUGUCCUGUUUUGGCAGAGGAUUAACUUACACUUUUUCCCCUCCCUCUAUUGUACUUAUUCUGGCAGAUUCACUUUUGUGCAAUUUGUGUGGAGCCUCAAGGAAGAGAGUAAUGCGGAGAAAGAUUAUGGAGAAAGAUUAUCUUUUUUGUUCAUCUUUAUUAUUUGUUUCACCAUCAUCAGAACUCCAAAAACAUCAAUAUAUACUCCUCCUGCAGUGGAGAAAGAUUAUGAAGACAGAAACUUUAGACUGCUGCGUACUGCGAGUUUAAUUUUUUUUUUUUUUUCAUUUCUGGAUUUGAGGGUGUAUCCAAUCGAAUGUUGGAAGUACUUCGAAAGUAUGUUUGGUUCAGAAAUUUGUUUCCGGCAAUUCCUGUUAUUGGGACCAUGUAAACUAUGUGAUGGAUUUUUUCGAAUGCUGCUUGUGAGUUUCUUCAACAAUGCCGAACGCGCGCAAGAUUGCGCCUGAUAUCUGUUUUGUUUGUUAACUGUGAGAAUGAUGGAUUGAUUUGUGUGUGUAGCUGCUCCGCAUGCUGCGAGCAACCUUCUUAAAUGCCAUUACAGCAAAAGGUAAUGCUUGAUUUGUAUUAAGCAAUUCAGCUUCUCACUCAAUCCAGAAGCUCUAACCUAUAUCUUGUUGCCUAUGAAAUAGCUUUUGCCCCUCUAUUAGAAUAGCUACUCUAGAAGUGGUUAGCUGAAAAGAAUUGGAUUGAAAUUAAAAAGCUGAGAGAGAUGGAAGAAGUAGAAUAGUACUGAGUAGAGAGAACAUUUUGUUCUGUUUUACUCAAGAAGCUUGGGGUCUGUUUGAUUCAACCUAAAAUCGUGAAAAUUAAUUUUUCAUGGAAAAAAUAAUUAUGUUUUAUAGUGUUUGGUUUGUAGGAAACAAAUAAUUUUUCAUCAACAUUGGAAAAAAAAUCACAUUUGUUUGGUUCGCUAGGAAAAAUAAAUAAAUGGAAAAAAUUUUAUGCAGCUUGAAUUUUUGUUCGAAAAAUAAAUAAGAAAUGAGGUUAAAUGUUUAGAAUGAUAUAAUGUAUUGGUUCUUAAAUCAAUGUUGAGUUCCCUUUCUAAUUUUUCUCAGUAUAUUAUCCUAUCAAAUUAUGAUGCUGGGGCAUUUUAAGUGAGUAAAAAUCAAACUCUUAAUUUACUAUUGUAAAAUAAUUUUUUACAUUUAUUUUUAUUGGAAAACUCUUUCGGGCCUAGGCUACACAAUGCACGGUAACUAUUCUGUUUUAACUUUUUAUUUUUUAGACCGAUCGUCUCUAGAGCAAGUGGUAAAGGGCUUGAUGGUUGGUACUCGAGACAAAGUUCGAAUUCUAGUUGAUUCACAUUUCUAGCUAAGUUUAUUUCUAAAUGAAAUAAAGGAAACAGAUAUAGUACUACAGAUCUCUUUAAAAAAAAAAAAAACCUUUUAUUUUUUAGAGACAAGUAGUAUGUUAUCAUUUUCGUUUAUUUCAUUUCAAAAUAAAUUUAGCUUAAAAUAUAAAUCAACUUAGAUUCGAACUUGGGACCCCGAAUAUCAACUACCAUAUCCUUUAUCACUUCCCAUUGCUCCCUCUUUUAACUUUUCCCCUCCUCUUUUGUAGAUUCUCUUCUUUUUGGAAAGUUAAAACAAUUAAAGACCCUACCGACCAUAUCGCAAUUAAAAGAUUCCUACCUUUUUAAGGUGGCCUUGUUCCCUUAUUUUAACUUUAAUUACUGGAAUUGUCGAAUUAAAAUUUAAUAAUCUGAGACUAAAAGUGUUGAAUAUGAGAAUUUUUUUUAUGUGGUAUUCACAUAUUUUGAUCCUUUCCUUUCUGUUUUAUUCUCCAUUUACUAUCAUAUCUUCCUUACGACCGUGAGAAUAUUUCUUCCAACUUUUAUCAGAUAUCAGUCCACUGUACCUGCAAUGAGACGUGCAAAGUAGGUGCUCCCACUAAUUUGUUUCGUUUAUAAGAGGGAGCAAUCGGAAUCGGAAUUAUAUUCAAAUUAAAAUUUAAGAAUCAAAUUUCAAUAAAAAUCUAAAUUUAUUGUCUAAAUUUGUCUAAAUUCAAAUUUGAAAUUAAAAACUAAAUUUGAAUUCGGUUUUAAAAUUGUAAUUGAUUUUUAAAUUCAAUCUAAAUUAUUAUUUGAAUUUGUAAAAUUAAUUAAUGAGAGAAAAGAGAGUUUAUUUCUCAAUCCCUUCAGGAUUUAAAGUUGAUUCCCACCUUUAUAGUGAACAUCUUUUUGCGGGGGUCGAUUUUCUCCAAAAUGAAAAUCAAAAUACCAAAAUACUAAACUUAACACCAAUAAUAAAAAUGAAUCAUUUUAUUAUCAUAGCAAAUUUUAAAUCCCUCGAACCUAAAAUACCUCACUGUUUCCUCACUAUUUCUUACACCCAGUGAAUUUUCACGCUUUGAGAAUAAGCAUUGCAUGAAUUUUCAGGAAUAUUGCAAUUUUUUUAUUAAAAACUACUAUGUACUACAUUUGUGCACGUUUAGUUCAAAACAGAAAUCGAAAUCGAAAGAGAAAUAAGAAAGGGCCUGAAUCAAAAAGCAAAUAAUAAAAACAAUAAUUUGUUUGGUUCAUAAAAAGAAUCGGAAUCGAAGUCGGAAUCAAAAUUAUGUUCAAAUUAAUAUAUUUAUUAAGUUUAAAUUUGUUAUUCAAAUUUGUAAUUAAAAUUUGAAUCCAAAUUUGAACUUGAAUUUUGAAUAUACAAUUUAAGUUCAAGGUAAAAAUCAAAAUUUAAAUUCUAGAACUAUUAAAGUAAAAUUUGAAAAAUAAAAAUAAUUUGUAAAUUCAUAUUUUUAAUUCAAAUUUGAAAUUAUAAUUUAAUCUAAUAAUUUUAUAUUUAGAUUUAUAUUUGAAUUCAAAUAGUUGUUAGUGUAAAAAAAAAAUUUCUUUCCUCGAUCACUUCGGAAUCAAAGUUAAUUCCCACUUGUAACGAGAGUCACUUUUGAGGGAUUUGGAUCUCUUCGGAAUAGAAAUUGGAAUGCUAAUAUCUCAAUCUAAACACUAAUAAUGGAAAUGACUUAUUUCCACUUUUAUUAUAAAUCUCAAAUCCUACAAACAUUCAAACAUGCUCUAAAGGUUUAAAAAUAAACAGCUAUUUCAAGAGAUUUGAAAACAAAGACUUGUAAGAAACCACUAAGCUAGCUAGCUUAGGGUUUGGUACUCAAACAUUGACUAAGAGAUACAGGGGUUGGAUGUGUUUUUCGUUAUUUUCUAAAACAGGGGAAUAAUAAUAAUAAUAAAUUAACUCUAAAAAAAACAAGAAUUUAUUAUAAAAAAAUUUGAGUUAUUGCUAAGGCUUCGUUUGGGAUUACGGAAAGAUUGCGUUACGUAUGGUGAGAAAUGACGAUGAAAAAAUACCAUAUUUAUUUCCGUACGUAAUAUUAUGUUCCGCAUAUUGUAUUUAGUCGAUUACGAUAUAUUUUAUGCAGUCUCAUCAGAGAACGCAAAAAUAUAUCACUAUAUAUUUUUUCUCAACUCUAUUUUAUAAGUACUAAACUAAACUAAGCCUAAGUCUCAUAAUCAGUUUAACAAGUAGUAGUUAACUCUGCAGUUGGAGGUCGUUGAUCAAGAAACGAAAUCAACGGUAGCCACACCCAACAUCUCAGUGGUUAUGACGGCUCGGGCUUACGAAUCUUCCACUAUUAUUCUGUAAAUAAUAAUAAUGGUAAUAUAAGAAUAAAGCUAAUUUUUUUAAAAAAAAACAACAACAACAAUUUUUUUACGCCGUACAACCGCCUUACAUUUCUGCCACGUGUUCCUUAAUAUCUACGCCCCAUGCAAUUGCACGGGAAAAAAUUUCUAUGUCGCUCCUCCGUGAGAUCCCGAAACAACUUUUGCAGUACGAUAUUGCUUGUUGGUGGGAUCGGCCACCCAACUCUGAACCGUCGCACCAAAAAAAGAAAAUGAUCAAAUUUAAAUUGUAUCUUUAAAAGUGAAUUGUUAUUUGUUAUUUUUUUAAAAAUUAAUUUAUAGUGGAGAGUGGGAGUGGAGGUGAGUGAGUCCAAUUUAAUGCACUCUUUAUAACUCGGGCGCCCACCCAAUCCCAUGUACGCUCCCUCCCCACCACCCCCUCCCCAUUGAAUGCCUAUAUUUACAGGAGGGGCGCCCUUUUAAUUCCUACACAAUUAGGUGCCCUCGUAUUUAUUAGACCCCGCCCAUUUGCCCAUUUCCUACACAAAAUUAGGUGACCCAGCCAUGCCAUGCACCCUUCUUCUUUGUUCCACCCCUUAAUAUCUUAUAUCUUAUAUACAUAUACUAGUGAAAGAGUCCGCGCUCUGCAGCGGGUAAAACUAUAGGAGUAAUUAAUAAUAAGAGAACAUCAGAUGAUGACGCCUUCUCCAAGGAUGAUGAUAGUAAAGAUGACGAUAAUCCAUUCAGCCGCUGCCGAGAGGGAAGAUAUAUAGGCACGCAUUAGUAAGAAAGAGAGGGAGGGAGGCGACGGUGUAUAGGAAAAGAUGAGGAAAAAAAAAUUAAUGAAUUAAUUGGAGAUGAGAAGAUGCGGAUUGUAGAUGGCAGUGGAUGGUUUGGAUGCAUUAAUUAGAAGUCUGGUGUAGAAAAGGGAAAGGAUUAUAACGAAUUAAUUGGAGAGAUAAGUGAAAAUUGUAGAUUAUAGCGAAACUAUUUAAAUGCAUUAAUUAAAAAUUUGGUAGUGAAAAUAUUUAGAUGUAUUAAUUAAUUGCAUUAAUUAAAAGUUUGACGAAGGAAAUGUUGAGGGUCAAAUGCUGGUGAGGGUGAAGGACAACUUGCCAUAUGGCAAAGAUUAUUGGGGAUUCAUAUAAGUUAAUUAAUAGAUAGGUCAAAUACUGGUGAGGGUGAAGGACAACUUGCCAUAUGGCAAAAAUUAUUGGAGAUUCAUAUAAGUUAAUAUAUAUAUAUAUAUAUAUAUAUAUAUAUAUAUAUAUAUAUAUUAUUAUUAUUAUUAUUAUUAUUAUUANNNNNNNNNNNUAUAUAUUAUUAUUAUUAUUAUCUCGAUCUUCUCCGCUGGCUCAACGUUAAUUGCCAACAUAAAAUUUUUCCUCUUUUUUUUUAAAGAAAAAAAGAAAAAAGAAGCUAGUCCGGUGCACGGGGCACCACCACAUUGGAGAGCAGCUACGUACACAGCAAAUGUACAUAGUUGUUGAUCAUCUCUCUCUCUAUUUGUUUCUAAUAUUAUAUGUAUGGAAGUGGAACUCAAUCGAUCCCUCCCUCUCUCUCUCUCACUCUUCUUACCUCUCUGUCUUUCAUUUUGCUCCCAACGACCUCUGACAGCAAUUAAUGGCGGCUUAGGCAGAUAUCCAGCUCAAAGAGCACCAAGUUAGAUCAUAAAGAUAGGGAGAAAGAGAGAGGGGGUGGGGGGUGGGGGAGAGACAUGAAAAGGUAAGAGGGGAGGGUGGUAGAUGGUGAAGAACCCGAAGGAAAUUAAACGCGCAGUGGCGUAUUAAAUGCCUCCCCCCACCCAUCACCUCCACCACCACCACCACCUCCACCACCACCCUUUCUAAUUCUAUAAAACUUGCUCCCUGUGUCUUCUACUCCUCCACUACUCCAUGUGAUCUCACCACCUAUAUAUGACCACCACGUUCGCUAGCUAGCUGAUUUGUGUCCUGCACGUGAAUAUAUAUAUAUAUAUAUAUAUGACUAGCUAAUUAGCAUAUGCUGCUGCUGCUGCUGCUGCUGGGCGCUGCUGCUGCUGCUGCUGCUGCUGCUGCUGCUGGUGGUACUAGUAGUACUGGUAGUAGUAGUACUAGUAGUAGUAGUAGUAGUAGGAUGAUGAUGAUGAUGAUGAUGAUGAUGGAGGAGUACUGGUCGGGGACGUGGGCGGCGGUGGCGUUGGCGUUGGGAGCGGCGUACAUGGCGUGGUUCUGGCGGCUGGCGCGGGGGCUGCGCGGGGGGCCGCGGGUGUGGCCGGUGGUGGGGAGCCUGCCGGGGCUGGUGCAGAACGCGGAGCGCAUGCACGAGUGGAUCGCCGGGAACCUGCGUGGCGCCGGGGGCACGUACCAGACCUGCAUCUGCGCGGUGCCGGGGCUGGCCCGGCGGGCGGGGCUGGUGACGGUGACGUGCGACCCGCGCAACCUGGAGCACGUGCUCAAGUCGCGCUUCGACAACUACCCCAAGGGCCCCACCUGGCACGCCGUCUUCCGCGACCUGCUCGGCGACGGCAUCUUCAACUCGGACGGCGACACCUGGCUGCUCCAGCGCAAGACCGCCGCCCUGGAGUUCACCACCCGCACCCUCCGCCACGCCAUGUCCCGCUGGGUCGCCCGCUCCAUCCACCUCCGCCUCCUCCCCAUCCUCUCCCACGCCGUCGACGCCCGCUCCCCCGUCGACCUCCAGGACCUGCUGCUCCGCCUCACCUUCGACAACAUCUGCGGCCUCGCCUUCGGCAAGGAUCCCGAGACGCUCUCCCCCGGCCUGCCCGAGAACGCCUUCGCCGUCGCCUUCGAUCGCGCCACCGAGGCCACCCUGCAGCGCUUCAUCUUCCCCGAGUUCGUCUGGCAGUUCAAGAAGCGCCUCCAGUUCGGCAUGGAGGCCACGCUCGCCAGCAGCGUCGCCCACGUCGACCGCUACCUCUCCGCCGUCAUCAAGGCCCGCAAGCUCGAGCUCGUCUCCUCCUCCUCGCCCUCGCCCUCGCCCUCGCCCGACCGCCACGACGACCUCCUCUCCCGCUUCAUGAAGAAGGGCUCCUACUCCGACGACUUCCUGCAGCAGGUCGCGCUCAAUUUCAUCCUCGCCGGCCGCGACACCUCCUCCGUCGCCCUCAGCUGGUUCUUCUGGCUCGUCUCCACCCACCCCCCCGUCGAGCGCCGCAUCCUCGUCUACCUCAAGGCCGCCCUCUCCGAGACUCUCCGCCUCUACCCCUCCGUCCCCGAGGACUCCAAGCACGUCGUCGCCGACGACGUCCUCCCCGACGGCACCUUCGUCCCCGNCCUCCUCCGUCGCCCUCAGCUGGUUCUUCUGGCUCGCCUCCCCGCUCGCAUUCGAGGAGGUCGACCGCCUCGUCUACCUCAAGGCCGCCCUCUCCGAGACUCUCCGCCUCUACCCCUCCGUCCCCGAGGACUCCAAGCACGUCGUCGCCGACGACGUCCUCCCCGACGGCACCUUCGUCCCCGCCGGCUCCUCCGUCACCUACUCCAUCUACUCCGCCGGCCGCAUGAAGUCCGUCUGGGGCGACGACUGCCUCGAGUUCCGCCCCGAGCGCUGGCUCAGCCCCGACGGCACCAAGUUCGAGCCCCACGACUCGUUCAAGUUCGUCGCGUUCAACGCCGGCCCGCGCAUUUGCCUCGGAAAGGACCUCGCCUACCUCCAGAUGAAGUCCAUCGCCGCCGCCGUCCUGCUGCGCCACCGCCUCGCCGUCGUCCCCGGCCACCGCGUCGAGCAGAAAAUGUCCCUCACGCUCUUCAUGAAGCACGGCCUCAAAAUGCACGUCGCCGCGCGCGAUCUCAAUCCGAUCGUCGCCGAGCUACGCCGGACACGCCCGGAGGCCUUGGCCGCGCCGCCGCCGGAGAGUCAAGUGAACAAAAGCAGUGCCGUUCCUACGGAGGUUGCAGCUGUUACCGCCUAAUUAAAGUGCAUUUUCUUUUUCCCCUUUUUUUUUCUAAAAAAAAAUUGUUCUUCAAAUUAAUUGGAAUAUAUUUUAGAAUACUGUGGGAAAGUGAGCUGGGUUGGUGUAAUGUAGAUAGAUAGUAAGUAAACAAGUUGGUGUGAGAUUUGGGGUCAAGGGGGAAGAAAUUAAUUAAUGGACAGUGUGUCUAGCUCUAUUCAGAUCAUUAUCUUUAUUACUAUAAUUGUUAUAAUUGGGAGAAAACCAGAGUUUGAUGUCACUUUUAAAGAAUAAUAUAAAUAAAAAGAAGCAUCGGAAUUGGGAUGUAACAUUUGUUGUGGUGGUUAAAAUGUGAACGCCACCAAUCUUAGAAAGUUUAUGAAAGAAACGAUUGUAUCCUUUUAAUUGGAAGCAUUUAUUUUUUUUUGAGGCAUUCAAUUUUGUCCUAGUAGGGUAUCUGAAUUUCCUCCCGCUAAUGGGGCCCAUCUAUUUAAUUAAUUAAAUGAGCAAAUAUAUAUAAAUAUAUAUAGACAUUACAUAAUGAUGUAUUAAUUUCUACAAUCUGUAAAUAUGUAUAUUGGAAUUAGUUACCGUUGUUAAAAUAGUGUGGCCCAUUUUUUU
rnacentral:lncRNA from 1 species